rnacentral:lncRNA from 1 species
UUUUUUUUUGGUGGUGUGCCGAUCUUUAUUUUUAAUAACGUUAUAAAUAAAAAUGUAAAAUCAGAAGCUGGCCGGAUUGGUUUCAACGUGUGGAAUUUUCGAUCGGUGAAGCAGGCCGCGGGCGUAGCAAAGGAUUGCAAAAUCGAUCCGUGUCGGCAGAUUUGAUGAGUGCAGUAUGCGCGCGUGUGGGCGUGUUACUUGUGCAACCGAUGAUGGACUGAAAGCACGCCAACACCCACGAACGUGCUAAAGCAUUCGGCAAAGCCGAGCUAGCAACUCGCGCGCAGGGCCGCAGCGGUCCGCGGCACGUGCAUCCCGCUUGUGGUCGUAGCUCAGCUAAAACAGCAUCACGCAACUAUUAUUGUCAGCACCCAACGGGCUUUUGCGACAACCAACAUGCAAGAUUGCAACUCAGGCGACCUAGUGCUAGAUAGCUCACAGGGUAGCAGACGAUAUACGAAACACCUUGUUUCGGGCCCUCAUCGAAUUUCAAAGAGCCCGAAAACAACCUCGAUUAUAGCUAAUUUUGAUUUUUUUUCCUAAAACAAACUUCUCUAGUUUCGAUUAAGUCUCACAUUUACAGCACCGAAUUAGUUUUUGUUAAAUAUACCAUCUAUAAGUAUGUCUUGGUGCACUUAUUUGUAUUGCAAAUUUUAAUAUAUUUUUUUCUAAACACGUAUUUCGAAAAAAAAACUGAUUUUUGAUGCACAUUAAAAUGCUAUUUUCGUUUCCAAAUUAUUAUAUUACCUCUUCUCCUUCAUUAUUAUGAAGUUCUAUUGCCAUUAGAAUACAGACAAUUAAUAAAAAGAAAAACUCUAAUAGGAAUUCCUAUAUAUGAAAAUAAGAUCUUCCGUUUGUAAAAUUUGUACAAAAUGUCGACUGAUUCGCAGGCGUGAAAUAGAGUCGUUUGUUCCAAUCCAAAUUAUAAACAAAGAAAGGGGGUAAUCUUUCGAAAAAUGAGCUUUUCUUUCUAAAAUUUUUAAAAAAGUACCUACGGAUCAAAACUAGUGAACUAAUAAUUUAUGAAAACAGAGAGUACCAAACGACCCUUCUAGCGACCAACAAAAUUUGUUGCCAUGAGCGUGAAAGAAGUGGCACAUUAAUUCGUUGCCAUCAUGUAUUCACGUUCAUCUUUAUUCAAGAAGAAGCACGCACAAGAACAACAUCUCCCGUCAAAACCACCAGCUUAUUCGUGACAGGGCCACGCACGCUCAUCACACGACGAGCGAGAAUGCGGCGCCGACGCAGAGCAGCGCCGCCGCCAGACGCGGCAGCAGCGCGCUCCCUCCGACCGCGAGCGCGGCGGCGGAGUUGGCAGGGGUGGGCUCGGGCGCCGGCCCCGGCGCCUCCCGCAGGUCGUGCUUGAGCUCCUCGACGGUGGCCUUGUCGGUGUGGAACGACUUCUCCAGGACGGCGUCGUCGAUGCCGGUCUCGAAGAGCGCCGCCGGCAGCGAGGUGGUGCCGGGGCUGGCGCUCCCGAAGGCCGAGAAGGCGCGCGCCGCGGUGGUGCCGUUGUUGAGCUGGAAGUGCACCAUGCCCUUGGGGAACACGAACACGUCGCCGGUCUCCAGCGCCGCCGUGUGCACCGCGCCGCCCCGGGCGGAAUCGACGAGGCCGACGACCAGGGGGCCCUGCACCACCACCAGCAGCUCCGAAGCCCUGGGGUGGAUGUGCGGCGGGUUGACGGUGCCGGGGCCGUAGACGAGCGCGGCGUAGGAGACGGACUGCCCCAGCAGCGCCGGGAACUCGGCCGCCGUGGCCUUGGAGACGGUGAACUUGGCCGCGGUGUCGCCGGCGAGCCCGCUCACGAGGCGGGUGUAGGUGAAGAAGGAGCCGUUGAUCUGGGCCGGAUCCGCGCCCGGCGGCAGCACGUAGUCCGUCAGGAUGUCGGGGUCGCCGGCGCGCGCGGAGCGAGGCAGCUGGUGGAUGACCACGACGGCGAGGAGCAACACGAGCGGCCGGAAGGCGAGCGCCAUUUGAUGCGUUCUUCCCGGAGGUGAGGUGGACGCGACGGAGGUAGCUGUUGCGGUCUCGUUUGCUAUUUUAUACUAGGUAGCUGGUGGCGUCCCCGGCCUUGGAAGAGCUGUGCUGUGUGUCAGUAUGUGUCUGUACAUGGGCGAGGUAGCCCUGCCGCGCAGGGGAAGCUGGAGUGAGCUUUCUUUUGUAGUUUCCUAAGGCCCCACCCCAUUUGGAUCAAUCGAAAUCUCCAGCUUAUUUGUCUUCGAAGAUGGCAUUCCAUAACUUUGAGAUAUAAGUUUAUCUUAAAUUCAUUCAUCAUUCAUGAGGUGGGAGAUAUAAAUUGAUUCUACAGAUCCUUGUACUAUGUUUCUAAUGUGCAACUUAUAGCAUGCUCUUUGACUCGCUUCCCUAUAGCAAAAGCAUAGCAUAUAAGUAUCUCUCCCCGUAUGACAACAAUAACAUACAAAUAUAUUCCACGUACAAUUAUAUUAACUUAAUUAAUUUUAUCUAAAUUAUGAUUAAACGAGGCCUACGCGGAAAUGGGAAGAAAGUGUCGUGUGUCAUUCACAACAGUUCAACAGCUAAAACGCAGAGUAUGCCUCAGGCACAAUGCAUCAUGUCUUACAGCUUACAACCGUCAGGUAUAUUCCUGCGUCACGACAUAGAUGUGCUUCGGAGAUAACAAGAGUUCUCAUGCACAGGCUGUGGCCUGUGGGUUGCACAUUUCCUUCAGAACAAUCGCUCGCAAUUUUCCCCGUAAGCUGCAGUAGCUGCCCGUUCAGACAUGGAGUUAUCGGCUCUUAUCAUUCAAAUAAGAUAAAACUGCACGAGAUAAUAAUUAGAAAUAUUAAAUAUAGGUUCAUUACAAAAUCAAUUGCAUAAAUAAAGACUAAUUCGCGAGACGAAUCUAUUAAGUCUAAUUAGCCCAUGCUUUGAUCAUGUGAAGCUACAAUAAAUAUAUGCUUAUCAUGGAUAGAUUCGUCUCGCGAAUUACCCUUCAUUUAUGCAAUUGGUUUUGUAAUUAACCUAUAUUUAUACUCUGAAUUAGUUUCAAUGUGAUGUGGACUAAACUUUAGUCCUGGAACCAAACACCCCCUAAGAGUUUCCUGAUAAACAACUUCCUUUUAUUUUCUCAAGAGAAAAAUUGUUUCUUGGAUAUUAUAACCCAGAGUCUGUCGAGUAUAUGAUGGUGUAAAUGUGUUUCUUGAUUAUAAUCCCGAGUCUAUUGAGUAUGAUGGUGUAAAUGGUAACGCGUCGGCAUCAUUUCGGACAUGUUAAUUUGUAUCCAUUAUAUCCACAUCAAGCUAAUUAUUGAAGCACAAAUAUCUUCAUAAGAAUGGCAUGCUCAUCGUUAGGAAAAAUUGUUUCCAUUACGAAGUCUUGUACACUCCGAUCAGUGUAUCAAACCAAUGUCUGCUUUAGGUUCCCAUAUUUUGCUUUAGGUUGGGACAAAGUUCCUUUAAAGUCUGCAAAACUUCUUUGAUACCUGGCUUCCUUUACGUGUGUGGAACAUUAUAAUUUGAGGAAUUUUUUUUUGCUGUUAUUUCUAGCUUGGUAGAAUUCAACUACCAGAAAAUAAUCAAGUAGAAUUCAUUUUACUAGUUACUGGAUUGUCUCUGAAUUAUUAUUAUGUUGCUUGAGUAGAGCCUUGAGCGAGUGAUGUUCGACAAGUCUUCGGGAGAAAUUAAUCAAUCAUCUUUAGAUUUUGGAAUACUUUCAGUAUGUUGGAUGCAAGUAUGCAGCAUAUAAAGAACUAACUGCAGUAGUUAUCAUAAGCUUGCUGCAUGGCUGGAAAGAUCCUGAAAGGAGCUAGAUACCAUCAUUUACAUCACAAAUAAAGGGGGAAAAAAGACAGCUUUAGGUAGCUCAAAAUGUUGACAACAAAUUUUAGGAUUCCCAUAUCACAGAUAGGUAGAGCAAAACAAUGCAUUACGAUAACUGAUCAAACAUAAUACAUCGCACCGACGAUUCAAGAUUGAUUAUUUUGACCCCACAUUCCCAUACAGACUCAUCACUCAGUCACAACCCCACCAUUUUACCCUUGGCAGGUUAUUCAAGAACGACGCGGCCGGAACACACGAUUACGAAGGGCAGAUGCACGCGAGCGACUCAUGGCUUCUUGGGCGGGGUGAGGGCGGCCUUGAGCUUCUCUACCGUGGCCACGUCGGUCUUGAAGGACCUGGCGAGGACGGCGUCGUCGAUGCCGGUGCCGAAGACGGUGACGGGCACGGACACGGUCCCCGCGGCUGCGCUCCCGAACGCCGAGAGCGCCCUGGCGGAAUUGCCCCCCUGGUUGUACUGCCAGUGCACGGUGCCCUUGGGGAAGACGAACAUGUCCCCGGUGGCGAGGUCCUGGGUGAAGAGCUUGCCGGCGGUGUCGACGAAGCCGACGGAGAGCGUGCCGUCGACGACGAGCAGCAGCUCGGAGGCGCGCGGGUGGGUGUGCGUGGGGUUGACGGAGCCCGGCGGGUACGAGAGCACGGCGAAGGACACGCUCUGCCCGUUGAGCGCCGGGAACUCCGCCAUGGAGGCCUUGGUCACCGUGAAGUUCGCCGGCGCCUGCGCCGCCAGCGCGGCGCGCAGGCCGGUGUACGUGAAGAACUCGCCGGAGAUGUUCCCGGGGUUCGCGCUCAGGGGCACGAUGUAGUCGGUGAGGAUGUCAGGGUCGCCGCCCACGACGGCCAGCGGCGCCGAGAGCGCGACCAGCACGAGCACCAAGGAGCUCAAGCUGUUGAUCACUGCCAUUCUCGUUCACUAACCUGCUAACAAUAGAGAGUGACUGAAGGACAGUUGUUUAACUAAAUGCGAUGUGUGAGUGAUGAGGAGUAGCGAUCACGCGUCCCCUAUUUAUACAGAAACACGAAUGCAUCUGGUGGUCGGUUGGAGUAAAUGAAAAGAAGACGACGAUGGAUGUACCCGUUGCUGCAUUGGGAAACUAAGACAGAUUAGUUGAUUAUUUCCUCCAGCUUAGAGAUGAUCGAUCAUUGAUAAAACUUAUGAUGACUGACAGCGAUGGAUAUAUGAGCUGAAUGUUUCCCCAGGCACCCAGGGUCCUGGAUACUCCUGCACUGCUACGUUGCCGCGCGAGUGAGAUGCCUGACGGGGCCAGCUAUAUAUUCUGGCCGCAGCUUGCACUUUCCCAAUUGUUUGCGAGGAAGAAGACGCGAAUUGAGGCCGUACAAGGAGCUGUCGAUGUAACUGUUCUUCGUACGGAGCAUACAAGUCGCACAGCUGCGAGAAUAUCUCCCAUGCCACCAACAGUUACAGCUGGAGACUUGGGAUUCACAAUGCAGGUGGCCUGCCUUGUUGUUUGCACAAGGGAUGCACGCUGCCAUGAAAAGGCUGUUCUUCACUGGCAAAUUACUUCAAUUAAGCUAACGUUAUCCAUCCAGCAAGGAGGUGUACGCAGUCAAAACAUGUAUGUCCAGAACUCCAGAUGCAUGCUGCGUUCGAACUGUAGGGAUGUUCAUUCCCAAGGCUCAUUUCCAUGGCACUUUGUUGUGCUAGGAAUGCAGCUUCUGUCUUGCCCUUUUUUUUUUAAUAAAACGUGGUAAUAAGUAAAUACUUGCGAAAGUAAAUACUUGCCCUUUUUUUAAGAAAUCUUUAGAAGAAACUCCAUGUUUCGUUGUUUCUGAUUUGCGCGGUGCAGAAGAAACAGGGAUUACAGGCGCGAUGGUAGCGGGGAGGGGGUUGUCCUAGCUAGGGGCCAUCCGGCACCGUUUCGUGCACUUAGAACUAGUUUGAUUCCCCCACCCGCACCAUGUCUGCACCACCUCGUUCACUUGUCCUCUCUUAUCUCGUGUCCCUCCGUCCGCAGAAAUCUAACUUCCCUCACGAGCUAGGAUGGCUUGGUGCACGCAUGGUUCAUAGGCCCAUAUGUCAGUCACCUAAAACUUCGAUACUUGCAUGCAUCCAAACAAAAUCUCAUGUCAUACAGGAUCAACAGCAAAAACAACUAUCUACACGAGCGCAUCCUGAUUGCUUUCAACCUGCACUGUCCGGCCAUCCUGGCCCGAGGCACGCACCACAAUGCGUUCUAGUGCAAUCCAAACCAUGGAACUCUGAACUUGAGAAUCUCAUGUGUGUUGCUGCCAGCAUUGUGUGUACGUACCCAAAGGGAGUCCUGCUUGCUAUAUGUAUGCAAAAGUGGCAAAGUGACCUAAAUUCUUAAUCCCAGAAAAACCCAAUCACAUCAGAUCAAUCACCAAUGCAAUCUAGAGACUUGCAUUUGGCUAUACCCGCUAUUUGUUUUUCUUUGAAAAAGGUACAAAUCUGCCUGUAAAACCAUGUAGUUAACUCUCACUGGAUACACAUAUAAACUUUCAUUUGCCAUAUAACACUUCAUUUGACCCGGCCGACAACAGGCCUACAAACUCAAGAACAUGCAUGGAAUUCUCUGCGGGACCCAGCAGUUUUACAAAACCCUGCUUAUUUCCAGGCCCAAUGUCAUUUGGAGUUGUACGCGCGCGCGAGAGGCCGGCCCAGCAAGGCUCCGCUUGGCUGUUGGCUGUGGCUUAGCGCUCGCUCGCGUAUACUUCCUUCGUUCUAUUUCACCUGACAUAAUGAUCAAGAAAUAACUCUACUUAUCAUCUAAUUAAUGCAAACAAUUUUUUUUACAUUAGUCCUCCAAUGGUUGCCACGAUGACUCCUCGUUGUUGAUGCAAUUUAUUAUCGCGGUUCACAUUGUUGGUAAAUAGGACUCUUCAUUUGUGAAAAUCCGAAUUUUAGAAAGGACGCAACUAGGCGAAGAUGAUGCUCCUGUUAAAAGCAUUGGGAGAGCCCCUCCCCCCUCCAACCUUAUAUGUUUGCGGGACCCACCAUGAUAAAGGCCAUCAUGACGAACACCAGUAUGCACUAAUUUCCCAUUAAGCAAUAUUUUAACUCUUCCUUUUCCAAAUAGUAUAUCAUAUCCAACAUAAUUCAACUGAGAGACAGAGACUAAAUUUCUUGUGAAUAUAAAGUGUCAUUUAACAAUAACUUUCCUCCACCAGGAAGUUUUAGGACAUAAUUUCCAAUUCCAAGUCUAUCGGCUCUAGCAUUAGUGCCUAAGUAUAUCUAUUUCCCCUUGGAAUUGUUUGCAUGGAAGUAAAAGAUUUAUGAUCUCUAGCAAUAUGUGAUGUAGAAUCAGGAUCGACAACUCAACUAUUUGGAAAAGUGGUAGUAAAUAAAGAUUCAGUGCAUACAAAAAAUAGAAUGCGUACCUCCCUUUAGAAUCAUCAUGGCGUCCUUCCUGCUUCUUAUUAUCAUUAUGCUUCCUCUUCUUCCUGCAGUCAGUUCUAAAAUACCCAUACAGACCACAGUUAUGACAGGCGAAAUCCUUUUUAUUCAUGUUAUUCCUCUGAGAUGAGUCAUAAUUUCCACGAUCAUCACGAUUGCGUUUAUUAUUAAGUAUGUCUCUCAAAUCAACUCUAGAUUUGUUCUUUUGCCAAUUCCUUUUAUUUGCAUUGUACAUUUCCUCUCCAAGGUGCAACUUAGAAUUAUUUGAGUUUCUUUCCUUUCCCUGGGAGAGUUUCCUAUCUUCUCCCAUAAGCGAGUGAUGCCUCAAAUUGCGCAUAUUAAGACUACGCUCAGAAUGACAAAACGACAUCUUAAAUUGUUCCCAUCAAUUUGGCAGAGAGUUCAGAACAACCAUAACUUGCACUUCUUCCUGAAAAGGAUAGCCAACAAUUUUUAAUUCCUCUGGUAAAACACAGAGUUUAUUGAUACGCUCAUUAACAGAACCACCAUCGCUCAUCUUGGUAGAGAGAGAACGAUUAACAAGAAUGAGCACUUUUACAAGAGAUACAUCACCAAAAUCUUUUUUUCAGUUUGCUCAAUAUUUUCCGAGCAAUCUGUUCACCCUCGUACUCAGCAGCUAAAGAAUAUGUGAUAGAUCCCAACAUAAAUAUACAAACCCUUUUAUUAUCUUUAGCCCAAACUUCAUAUUCUACCAAAUAAUCUUUCUUUCCUCAUCAGUGGCAUCAUUCUUUGUUUUUUUCGGUUCAGGCACAUCAAUGACAUAAUCAAUCAAUGACAUAAUCAAUAUUCUCAACAGUAAGCAAAUACAUGAUUUUUCGUUUCCAAACUGUGAAAUUGAAGCCAUCUAACUUGCAAGUUCUAAGCAGCUCAGAAAAAAACAGUAUUAGAUGCAUUGAGAGUGAUGAUAUUCUAUACCAGAGAGAGGACGAUGUGCAGAUUGAUUAAAAAAAAAGUUCAACUCUUUGCUUCCUCGAUCCACGUGCGUAGAGCACCAAGUGAAGCCCCCGCGUGUUUGAGCUCCUUCCCUAAUCUUCACGUGCACCAGCAAGCAGCACGCAGGUACAGGAGCUCCUUCCUCCAAUCUUCACGAGUGCGGGAGCAGCACAAAUCGUAGGAAAAAAACAGUUGGGACUUCCUCGAUUUACACGUGCACGGCGGGAGGGGAUGCAAUAUACGCUCCCCAGCUUCCACGCGGAAAUCGAGUUGCGACGGCGAUGUGGUGUACGUGACACCACGACGGAGAGGCGGCGGCGGCGCAGAGAAUUUUCUCGGAGCUAGGGUUUGGUCCGAGUUUGCAACGAAAAAUUAGAUGGAACUAACCGUAUCCCUCUGAUACCAAUGUUGGAAAUUGUGAGCUAUUCGGUCUACCCUCUAUUCCUCUGUCUUAUCCGUGGUGCCGCUCACAAUUCAUAAUGAGGGUGGAGGGUACGCAUGUCACCAACCACGAUCAUACAAGUCAGUUUAAUGAGUCUAAAAUAUAUUAGUCCCUAGCACACAUGUGUGAGCCAUGUUGCCAUGAUCAGUUGUAUAUAUGAGAUCAAUUCCAAUCUGAUCAUGUGGGUUAACAACCUGCAGAGUCGAUUCUGCAAAACAAACCUAGCUCUUCUGUCGUGCUGUACCCUGUAUUCUAGUACAAACAUCCUUGGCACCUCGAGUUAGAUUCCGCAUCAAUAAUUUUCUUGUCACUCGCAUCAAUAAAUAAUUCCACAUUGAGGUGAAUAUAUAUAAUGACCAUUAUUAUGAUAUGAAAUAAAUGUUGAUAGACACAGAUAAAAAUCCAACAGAAGGAACGCUUCGCUACGUCCUUACCAGAGACUCGACCAAAGAAGAAGAAGCUCAGGGGUGAAGCACGCCUUUCUCGGGACAUUGCUGUCAUCGAUGGUCGGCUCAAGUUUGUUGAAUUGCAGCUCCACUGGAAAGAUAGUGUGGUCUUCAGGGGCCUCCGCCUCAGAGAUGGUUGGAUCGCUUCGCUGCCACGUACAGCCGGGCUGCAACUUGUUCCUUGGAGGAUAGAUGGAGCAAGGACCAUGAAAUCGACUCCAACUGCAUGGACUUUGAGCAUGACCCACUCACCAAGCUACUCCCCAAGAUGUUCAAUGACGAAGGCAUGGCUCUCCCACCCUUCAAGAGGCUUGACGUGUGCCAACCACCCUCGCCCUUGAUCAUCAUGACACCGUGUACUUCAUGACGAGGUUCGAGCGGCAGGAUGCCAAAGCAUGGGUUGCUGCUGUGGAUAUGAAGAGAAAGGUGCUGCAAGCAGUGUGCCCAUUUUCUGCUGACAGGAACACAUGCAUCACCUUCGCCUACAUGCACAGUAGGAUCUCCAGUCACUUGUAUCCCUUGUGUCUCACUACUAGUCAGGUUAUGCGUCACUAGUCCGGAUGGAUGCAAGAGGAAUAGAUGCGGUCAUGUGGAGUUGGGUUUGGUCUAAAGUUGUGUUGUUUCAAUGCUGGGGGUUUCAUCUAAACUUGACAGAACAGAAAUCGUAACGGGAAGCAGAUAUAGCUUCUGAAACAUCAGUAAACUGCGUUUCAGUCGAACGAACUGCAGAACACCCACGAUAAACAAACGACGACCACUGUCUGAUAGACUGACAGACUAGGCUGGCAACAUGAGCUUAAAAUAGUACCAUGAUCUCAAAAGUAUUAAACAUUCUCAACGGCAAUGGUAACAUCAACUGAGUCAUGAUUGAAAUAAACUUAGUGCAACAGCAACUUCCAAGCCCCCUAGACUAGAUAACUUCAACAAGAUGCAAAACAUCCCUCAUGUGUUUGUUGCCCUGGUGUAUAUCUGCUGGCUGGAAUGAACGGCGACCAUCCUUAUGAGCCCCCUUGCCAUCAGGUCCUUGAUGGCCCUCCGAGCCAGGGAUCCAUUGAUCUGUGGGCGAAAAGAAACAAAACUUGCCUUACUCACAUGCUGAUUUAAUGAGAUUGAUUGAGGAUACAGCACAAGCAGAUAGCUCAACACAUUGCAAGCUAACAAAUAGGUGAUGAACAAACAUAAUGUGCAUAUUCUACCUGCCAUAAGAACCAAAAACUUUGUAAUAUGAACCAGAAAUAGUCUAGCUUACAAAUCCAACCUCAAUUGAAUCAUACAUGCAAACAACAAAGGCAUGGAUAGUAAGUUGGUAACAACAAGCAGUUCCCGUACUCAGGAAAGGAAUUCCAGCUUCUAUGGGCAGUCCUAAAGUCAUGACUUAAUUUUAAAACAGUUCCAGUUCACCAUUUAUGUUGACAAAGUGGAACUGAGGUCUGACAAAUGGUGAAUGACUAUCUAAUUACCCAAACACUUGUUGGGUUCCAACCACUGAAUAUAAAAGUAAUCACAACUACACAGAAUAUCAACACACUUGACACUACAAACUGAUCAUAAGGCCUUUCAUAUCCUACUUCCUACCAAGUGGACAUAUUUGCACAGAUAAUGGUGUUGAAUAUUUACCCAUGUGAUUUUGCAUUCCAAACACUGAAUAUAAAAAUUAUCACGGCUACACAUAACAUUUUGCAUUCCGAAAAUUGAAUAGUUACCAAUGUGAUUUUGCAUUCCAAACACUGAUGAAUAUAAAAAUUAUCACAACUACACAGAAUAUCAACACAUUUGACACUUCAAACUGAACAGCCUUUCAUAUCCACCUCCUACUGAGUGGACUUGUAAUUGCACAGACAAGGCGCAAGCAGCUCGACAUCAUCAAGUUUGACAGCUCGCGUCGAAAACUAGCACAUACUGUGUUAUCUGACAUCUACACAGACCUAUACAGACCAAAGUUCGAGACUCAUGCUAGCAUCGAUUCUCGUAAUGCUAAUUGAUAUUCUACAGCCACAUAUCAUAAACAAAGCUUUUAAACCGCACCAAAUAUGAUGUACCACUGGAAGACGGGAAGGCGCACAAACAGGGGCGAGAUCCAUAAUAAUUCCAAGUGAAGAAGAUGAUUACCCUGAGGCGCUCGGAGAGGAUGGAUGGAGUGAUCUGCUUGAACUUGGGCGCCUCGGUGAGCAGCUUGUCGUAGGUGGCCUGGUCGAAGAGCACCGCGUUGUUGACCUUCUCCUUCUGCUUACCCUUGCUCCACUUCUUCUUCUUCUGCUUGCCGCCUCCGGACUUGGCCGGCUUGGACGACGGCGGCGGGGCCUUGUCCUUCUUCGGGGCCUGCGAGAACAAGCGAGACGGUCAGCAACAGUCGAGCAGGCUGCGCGGCGGUGCGGAUGGGUGGAGCGGAGAGGAGCGGAGCGAGACGUACCAUGGCGGAGGUGGCGGCGGCGCGAGGCAGGCGAGGCGAGCGACGAAGAGGAGGGGUGCGGCGGCGGCGGGAGUCGAGGAGGGUGGGGAUGAGCAGCAGGUAUAUGAGUCGGAGGCUAGGGUUUUCGGCGGGUGAAGCGUGCUCUCCACCGUCCGAUGCGAUUGGAGGGCUGGGACCCCGCCUUGGGGCUCAUCUACGCCCUCAAAGUUGACAAUAUUACGAAAGGACCCCUGUAACUGCACGAAUUGGCGAAUUGCGCCACGACGCAUAACAUGUAGGAAUCUCCUCACACGAUCUGUAUAUUGCAUCAUACCCCUUAAAAGGACCGCAUAUCGCGAAUUCAAACAUCUUUCGGAGGACAAAUCUGCAAAAAUAGCACAGCCUGGGUCUUGUUCAAAGAGGAGGGGAGGGGGCUCCAGAGACAGUUCGCAGCAACACAUUUCUUUCUUCGCGAGAGGGCAAAGGCAAGGGGAGCGAAGCGGAGAGCGAGGGAGCGGGUGACGUCAUCGUCCUCCAGGGUUUCUCGAUCGGCGGCGAUGGCGGCCAGGACGGCGGCGAGGUUCGUGCAGCGCAGGCUCCUGUCCUCCGGCGGCAAGGUCCUCGGCGAGGAGGAGAAGGCCGCCGAGAACGUCUACAUCAAGGUCCAGAUUUCUCCCCUUUCUCUCUCGCUUCCUUCCUCUAGUGGUUUCUGAUCGGGAGCGCGAUUCCUGCAAGGCGUGUGGGUGUGCGACUGGUGAUGCGAUCUAAGGACUCGCUUCUAGUUCCGCAAGUGUUGGAAGUGGCUCGUGAUGCGGUCUCUGUGCGUGAGCCGCGUGCUUCUGGUGACCUCCGCGCGUUCCGGGACUUGGGUAAUUUUUGUCUAGGGUUUCCUUGUUGUAGUGUAGUUCCAGGAAAGGAGUGUACUGGUGACUGGGGUUUUGUUUUGGUGCAAACGUUUGCUAGUUGCUGACCUUGGAAUGGUUACCUGUGGCCCUGUUGCAGUAUGGCAUCAAUUUAUGUUGUUAAUUUGUUGAUUACCUACCCCGGCCAUGCUUUUGGCCUUCUUAGUACUGCUUUGGUUGAGAUGCGUGCUACCUGAUUAUGUGAUGUCUCAAAUUGUGGAGUUUUUAGCUUCCUGAGGUUCAUGUGCAACUGUUGCUGCGGUGACUCAUGCUGCUUAUGCGUGUGAUUUACUUUUAUCAAUGUUAAAUAAGGUCCCCAAAUUCUUCUAGUUGAAAAAUCAUACAUGCUGCAAUGUUGUAGUUUUCCUUCAGCUAUGUUUGUUUGCUCAUCCAUCUUGUACUGCUGUUGGAGAACACCACUAGUUAUGAGCUGAUAGAAUCACAGUUUAUUAUAGUUUCAGAAAUCUAUAUAUGCUAAUUUCAUGUUUUUUUUGUGUGUCUGUGUACCUGAUCAGCUUCGUUCUGCUAAAAAGUUAUGUUAAAAUGGAUGCAUAUUUGUACUGAUAAACUGGUAGGUAGAUAUAUUGCGAUGAUAUGAUCUGCAUAAGCAUGUGUUUCUGGAACCAUGGAUGUGAAAAUUGUGGCCAUAGCAGGUUUUCUCUUUUAGCCUUAAGCCAUUAAAGAUUACACUAAUGCUUGGAUAAAUUAUACUGCUUGUAUACUUGAGUUGUCUACUGUCUGUGCAAGCUUGGUGCUUAUGGUGGGCUUCCCCAAGUAUUGUGACUUGGGAGCUUACUCUAGGUUGUCUUGUUAUACUGGUCAAUGUGGUUAUGUGAUGGUAUAAAUUCUUUUCGUUGGUGACAUGAAUAGAAUCAUGCACCGCUGAUCCAGUGACACAUUGAAUUGUGGUGGUCGUCUACCUGGCCAUAGUUGUCCUGUUGGUACGCAUUUGUAUGAUAUGCAUGCAUAUUGUUUUCUGGGAUCAUGGCUAAGGGUUGCUUUUGCAUCUGGAAGUUUGAAGGUCACUCUGUUGGGUCCUGUUACUGUUUGAUAGUUGCACUAAUUGUAAAGCAUAUACACUAUUUUCUUCUGUCUAUCUGCCAAGUUUCCAAUUUCGACUGUUUGGCUGUCUAUCUCCCAAGUUUCCAAUUUCCAUCACCAUCUUCUAAUAAAGCAGUCCAUAAAUAUCUUGUGAUCAACAUAAGCAUGCCUUUCUGGAAUCAUGAAUGCGAAUGUUGUUAGCAUGCAGGCUUUGACUUUAAGUCUUAAGCUGUGAGUUAUACUCUGCAUUGCUACUGCUUAGACAAUAUACUGACUAUUAUAUUUGGAUGUGAUGCCAUCUGUUGGUAGGAGCCCAUGCUCAUAUGAGCUCCGCAAGUGUUGUCUUGAGGAUUUUUUAUAGGUUGUCUUCUUAUACUAUAGUUUGAGGAGGUACGAGUAUACUGGUGAAUGAGAUUUUGAUGAUGUAUACAUGUUUUUUAGUGAUAAUGGGAUACUAUUUUUCAUCCCUGGUCCAGUAAUGCACCAAUUUAUGUUGAAAAUUGGGUUCAUACAUGGUUGUGUUUUCUGUCUUGUGGGUGCACAUGUGUGUGAGAUGCAUCGUUAUUGAUUUUUGCAACCUUGACUGCAAUAGUGGGCUGUUUUUGCUUCUGGAACUUUGAAGGCCGUGAAUUUUGUAAGGUCCUGUUAGUUUGUCUCGUGAUGACUCAGACUCAGAAAAGCCUAUACACUAUUUUCUUCUGAGUUUGGUUCCGUCCCAGAUUGUGAUGCUUGUGUGUUGUGACAAAUUGUUGGUAUAUUAGGACACUGUUGAUGCCUGUCUCUUGCUUCUGAUUAUACAUUUCAUUGUCUGACUCUUUGCAAAAACUUCUAUCACAUUCUAUGACCAUAUUUUUGGUUAUAGUAUUGAGCUUAUACUUUUAUUCCGAGUUCUUUGAACCAAUCGUGAGCUAAGUUAGUUUUAUUUUAUCACCUGCCUUCUUCAUCUGUACAUAACUAGUUAUGAGUACGUAAUUAGGUGAUACAAUUAGUGUGUUCCGGAAGCUUGAGAAUUUCUAGCAUGAAUGUGAAACUUAUUCAUUUGUGUGCCUGACAUGUAAGAUAGACCUUAUCAUUGAAGAUGACUGCAGAAUUGGUGUGAAAUAUUUGUGCAUAAACUCAAUCCAUUAGGCUUGUUUUACAAUGAAUUAUUGAAGUUAAUGCUUCACUGCAUUUCUUAUAAGCUGUAAAAAGUUUAUACACUGCAGUGCCAUGAAAUCCUUAAAUCUGAAGUGGUAUUUGGAUAAGCUUUUUCAUUGCCUCUAUCAAUGUAGAAAUCCUGUAUAUAGCUUUUUUUGGUGGUUAUUUAUGGCUCUUUUGAUGUCUUGAUAUUAUUUUCUUGAUACUAUGAUAAUAACAUGCCAUGCAAAUUUUGUUUUACUGCAGAAAAUGGAACAAGACAAGCUGGAGAAGGCCGCACGCAAGGUAUGAAACACAUCAUCUCAAGGCCCAAGCAUUGAAUUGGGCAGCAUUCCUUUCGUGUUCGAUGAUAACCUUCUGUUUUGUUGAUGCUUUUUAUGGGGAAUCAUGAAUUCUUUACAUAGAACCAUGAAUGUAUCAAUUCUUUUACUUGGAAUCAUGAUCGCGUUACUGGUAUAUUUGUCUUUGCCUAUGUAUGUUAAGCCAUGCUAAGUUGUAAGUAGGAGCGCUGCAUAUCUGUUUCACGAACUCAUGAAACUGUGUGUCGCUCUAACACAAGAUGUUACAUGAUUCCAGGGUCCCAGCUCAGGAGAGCAAGCUUCGUCAACCACAAGCUCUGCAGCAAGUGACGUGAAGGCCGCGGGCGGGCCAACAGAGUCAGCAUCUACUGGUGCGUCCACCGACAAGAACAGGAACUACGCUGUCUUGGCAGGCACAGUUGCUGCCCUGAGUGGCCUGGGUUGGUAUCUCUUGUCAAAGCCUAAGAAGUCGGAGGAGGUUGUGGACUGAAGGGGCGGUUGUGAAUGGGAUCCGUGGAUGGUCUGCCUUAUCAGUUUCACGUUUCACCCUGGUUUACUUUCUGCGCAUAGACCUGCACCUUCUUCGUGGAAAUAAUUGUUGAAAUGUACUCUGCACUACUCGUUCUGAGGCCGCAUCAUUGAACUUUGAAGUAUGCGCUCGAGACGUUCUGUAGUUCUCCCUCAUGUGACGAAUCGCAAUGUUGUCUGAUGCUAAUGCUACAUCGCUGCUGAAAGAGGUUUUUUGGGUACUGUUGUUCUGAAUGUAUGGAGUCUGUUGUCUCUAGUCUUUAAUCAGCACCUAUAUGCCUUGGUGCAUUCUGUGAUGCUGAAUGGGAAUGACAUAAUACAUGCGUUGCCGUUUGCCUCGGUUUUGCCACAACAGUCAUAUACUCCGUAUGUUCUUUCGAUAGCGUUUCUGUAAGAAUAAAAAGUUGUUAUAUGCUUUCACUAGCAUUUCUGUUCUGGGAUGCCUCUAUGGAAUCAACCUGUGUCUAUGUUCGCGCACUUCCAAAAGCAUUUCCGUACUGGGAUGCUUCGCGUAGUGCAAAUAUGGAGAAGCAGUCACAACACAAAAGACAGCAGAAACGUACUCUUUUUAACGUAGAAAUUUCAGAGCUGUGUAGAUGACUGGCGCACAGUUUGAUAAACAACAAGACUGACUUGCUUCAUAGUAAGUUGCUAAAACUCGCAUGGCAGCCUCCACAGAAAUUAAUCUAGAACUGGAACUACCGGAACAAAAAGUUGCCUGCCCAAACUGAUGGUGCAUCAUGCAUGCAUGUCACCAAACCAACAACCAAAGACGUCAAUCAUUUUCUAGGUGCAAUGAAGUCUCCAUGGUCAUGUGGAACACAAGCUCUUGAGCUACUUCUGUGAGCCAAUUAAAACCUACAGUUAUCAGGAAUAUAAAAUUUUUAAUUCAAGAAACUGCUGCCGUUUUAGAUGAUAGGUAGUGUACUUUCUUUUACACUCUUUUGAAACUGAUGACAACUAAUUCCAUAGGAAAUGUUGGAAAUUAAGUUUUUAUGGAUGGUUGAACUAAAUCCUAAAACUACCCCAUGAAAAAACUACAAAAACAAGGCCUGAAGCAAUUGGAAGUUGGAACCAGACUAUAUUCAUUCUCUACUUCUUAGAUAGGAACAUUAUACUCUCUCUGAUCCAAACCUGAUCUUAUUCACAGAUUUCUAUAUAACUCCGAACAGGCUAAGCAAACAUUACGUACAUAGUUAGACUCUUCCUUUAGAAGAGAACACAUGGGACAGAGAUCACUCCGAGAGACAUGCCUAAGAUGCUAAAUUAAAACCAUCUGACAAGGACUAACAUUGCACUUUGUAUUCCUAUGUGAUAUUACAAUGUUUAUUCCUUAUUUCUUUGAAUGGCAGAUUUUCGUGGACAAGAAGUAGAGGUUCCUUGAUCAUCCAGCAUUAUGUAAUCCUUGCAUGCAGAUUCUAUUAAUCUUUCACAGAGGGUAUCUUGGUAGCGCAAUUUCCCUGUGGCCACUUUCCUACAUCAAUCAAAGCAACGGCCCAAAAUUUUUGCAAGUGAUGUUUCCUUGAUUCUAGAAAAACUUCACAUGGUGUGUAAGUGGCAAGCAAAAUGUGCAUGAAUGUUUGCAGAAAUAAAACCUGGGCUGGAUCGGCCAGCUCACUUGGAUCCAUGGACUAAAUGAAGGUCUGAAGGGGGAAAUUGAAUGAAAGAGGAGCAGUCAUGACGACCCUAUGCUCCUUGAGGCCUCCUCCUUGGGCGCCUACACGCCGCCUGGCUCUGCUCAGUCCUUGGGGACGCCGCACGCGGAGGUCGCCUCUCCCCACCGCUUCCUAACGUACUUGCGGCGUGCGCGCCUGCAGUCAUGUGAGCCUGCACCUGACACCACCCCUCUAGCGGGCCCCUCGUCGGUGGGCGCGGUUGUCACUCCUGCUGACCCUGCCACCCCGCCACACAGCUCCCCGCCAGCAACAACCCCACAUCCAAGCUCUUCCACCACCGCGUGGGAGAAGGCGACCGCUUUCAUCAACAGCGUUCGCCUUUCUUUCCAGUUACCCCUUGCGGCCCGGCCCACCAACUCUGGCCCUGCGCCGCCUCCCCCCCCCCCCACUGCAACACCUCGCCGUAGCAGCCGCCUUGCUAGUAAUCCCCUCAACGUUGCCGUUCGGCCAUCUCGCAAGGGGGAGAUACUGGCCAUGAAAAAGCUAGGCGUCAUCUCACAGGACGCGGAGGGAGACUGUGUCACACCCUGUGACUUUGACAAAUUUCUACACUCCGCCGUGCAGCCGGAGCACUUUGCCGCGCUCCGUGAUAUCUUCCCGCUGGCUAACGAACUUUCUGACCACGAACUCAUGCAGAUUGCUGGUCGGGCGGAUGAUGCCUGCAUAUAGCCACCAGGCGCCCGUGAUGCCCCACCGCCGCCCGCGUGCCCCAUGCAAGCUCCCAACAUCAAUAUGCUUGUCUGAAAUGUGCGAGGCCUCAAUGCACGUUCCCGGCGCGACGCCCUGCGGGACCUGGUAGCUGAGGCAAAUGGUGCGAUUGUAUGCUUACUGGAGACAAAGUUGGCUGUACUCUCCCCAUUUCUUAUUGCUGAAAUGCUUGGAGGCGACUUCUCCUCCUCCUACGAUUACCUGCCGUCUGAUGGCACGCGCGGAGGGAUCCUUGUUGCCUACCGGAACUCCGUUGCAACUUGCUCCCGCCUGCACUCUGGCCGUUUCUCUCUUACAGUAUCCGUUAGCUUCCUGUCCUAGGACACGCCUUGGAGUCUCACCAUCGUCUACGGGCCCCAAUCGGAGGCCGAUAAAAUCGAUUUUCUGGACGAACUCCGUGCCGUCCAGCCCCAUGCUGCGGCCAUGUAGGUAAUUGCGGGUGAUUUCAACCUCAUUCUCAAUGCGUCGGACAAGAACUCGGGUAACAUCAACCGGAGGAACAUCUGAAGGUUCAGGCGGUUUGUUAAUGAUAUGCAGCUCAAGGACAUUUAUCUGCACGGACGGCGCUAUACUUGGAGCAACGAGCGUGAGACUCUGACUCUGGCGCGGCUUGACCGUGUCCUGGUCUCCACCGAUUGGGAUGCGCAUUAUAGCUUCGCGUUCCUACAAGCUCUCUCCUCUGGCGCCUCCGACCACUGCCCGCUCCACUUGGCGACUAAUGCCUACUUCCCUUCUAAACGCCGGUUUCACUUCGAGCCCUGGUGGAUUGCUCUGCCGGGCUUCUCUGAAACUGUUGCGGGAGCCUGGUCCUCGACCUGUCCCUCCACGGACCCUUUUGUCCGUCUAGACCACAAGCUCAAAUGCACAGCCAAAUCCUUGCAACGCUGGAGCUCUAAGAAGGUGGGGCAGAUCCGCGCCCAACUGCUGGUGGCGAAGGCGGUGGUUCUCUGGCUCGACAAGGCCCAGGAGCUUCGCACGCUGACUGCAGAGGAGCGGAGCCUUAGGACGCGGCUCAAGUACAAAACCCUCGGACUGUCCUCCCUCGAGCGCAAUAUGGCAAGGCAGCGGUCAAGGCUACUGUUCCUUCGCGAGGGGGACGCCAACACUAAACUUUUUCACACGACCGCUUGCCAUCGAGCGAGGAAGAAAUUCAUCCCCAGCCUUCAAUACGACGGGACGAUCGCGAUCUCUCAACCUGACAAGGAGGAUCUCUUAUAUAAUUACUUCCACUCCAUUCUUGGCUCCUCGCCAGAAGGGACUGCGGGAGUGGAUCUUGCUGCCUUGGGCUUCCAGGCAGCUGACCUGCAUCACCUCGACGCCCCCUUCUCCGAAGACGAGAUCUGGAGUACCAUCAAAGAGCUUCCCGCUGAGCUUGCCCCGGGCCCGGAUGGGUUCACGGCCGAAUUUUAUCGGGCGACCUGGACGGUUAUCAAGUGUGACAUCACUGCUUGUUUCAAUGCGUUCUUCCGACGAGCUUGCGCCCAGUUUGGCCGUCUCAACACCGCUCUCAUCACGCUCGUGCCUAAAAAACGGGAUGCGGCGUCGCCGGCCGAUUAUCGCCCAAUCAGUCUGGUCCACAGCUUCGCAAAAUUGGUCGCUAAGCUGCUCUCCAAUCGGCUUGCGCCCGAACUGCACAGACUAGUCGACGUCAACCAGAGCGCCUUCAUCAAGACUCGCUCCAUCCAUGAUAACUUCAAGUUCGUUGAACUCGCGGCCAAGACCCUGCAUAGGAAACGGAAGCCCAGCCUGCUUAUCAAAUUAGACAUUUCGAAAGCCUUCGAUACCGUCUCCUGGCCGUUCCUCUUGCAGGUGCUCCAGGCGUGUGGCUUUGGGGGUAAAUGGCGAGAGUGGAUUGCGAUCCUUGUGUCCACAGCCUCAACUCGAGUUCUCCUCAACGGAACCCCUGGAAGAUCCAUCCGGAAUGCUAGGGGAUUACGGCAAGGAGACCCCCUUUCCCCUAUGUUGUUCAUCCUUGUUAUGGAGGUCCUUCACCGCCUAUUGGCUGCGGCUGCCCAGCAGGGGGUGCUCUCCUCCCCAGCUAACUGUGGGAUACACCACCAAUCUGUAUGCUGACGACGUUGUCAUCUUCGCGACGCCGCGCGUCCAAGACGUCAUCACGAUCAAGACUGUGCUUGACUUCUUUGGCCAAGUCUCUGGCCUCCGGACAAACUUCCACAAAAGUCAGCUGGCGCCGAUCUACUGUACUGACGAGUAGAUUUCCAGAAUUAGGGACAUUCUUCCUGCACAGAUUGCUACAUUCCCCAUCCAGUACCUUGGAUUACCUCUAUCGGUGGGGCGCUUGAAGAAAUCCUAUUUCCAACCCCUUAUUGAUAAAGUUGCUAGCAAGAUCCCCAGUUGGAAGGCACAACUCAUGAACAAAGCUGGGAGGCUAACGGUCGUCAAAUCCGUGAUGUCCUCGGUUUGCACACAUACACUCCUUGCGCUUGACGUCCCAGACUGGGUGCUGCACGAGAUCGACAAGAAUCGAAAAGGUUUCCUCUGGGCAGGGAAGACCAAAGCUGGGGGGGGGGGACUCUGUGCCAUCUCCUGGCCAACUGCAUGCAGGCCAUGUAGGUUUGGGGGCCUGGGGAUUUCGGACCUCAAGCUCUCCUCUCAAGCUCUUCGGCUUCGCUGGAUGUGGCUCAAAAGAACGGAUACGCAGCGCCCGUGGAUCCAAUUAAGCACUGAUUUCGACAGGGACAAGAACCUACGCAUUGUCUUCCAAGCAUCGAUCCUGGUACAACUAGGGGAUGGUAACGCUGCUCUUUUCUGGGAGGACAACUGGCUGGGGGACUCCUCACCGUGCUUCCUCGCACCAGACCUUUGUGCUAUGGUUAAGCCCAAAAUAAGAAGAACCAGAACCGUAGCGGCUGCCCUGACAAACAAGGUGUGGAUUCACGACAUUGUCGGACGAGCUACAGUCAGUGGCCUCACGCAGUACGUCCAACUUUGCAUGUUGUUGCCACUGUCCAUUUGCAGAGCGGCAUCGAGGAUGUCAUCUCCUGGCGUUGGGAAACCUGUGGGUCAUACUCCGCCCGAUCAGCAUACCACAUGUUCUUCCACGGCUCCACUGUUUCGCUGAUCUUCAGGACCGUGUGGCACGCUUGGGCACCUUUGAAAGUCAAGUUCUUCAUUUGCCUUGCGGCCAAGGGUAGGAUCUGGACCGCCGCAAGGCGCAAACGACAUGGGUUGCAGGUCACCGAUGAGUGCAAUCUCUGUGGCCAAGCUGCUGAAACGGUGGAUCACCUCUUCAGUCACUGUGCCUAUGCCCGUCAGGUGUGGCUUCAGGUUGGACAAAGAACUAACAAUCAGCUACCGAACCUCACCGCGGAUUCCAACUUGAUUGAUUGGUGGCUCUCUAUUCGGGCCAACAUGACCAGCGUCAAAGCUAAAGGCCUAGAUUCUACGGUCAUGCUGGUCUGCUGGCGGUUAUGGAAAGAAAGGAACGGCCGAGCCUUUGCCACUACCGUCGCUAGAACGCCGCAACAACUUCUGCUGCUCAUUGCUGAAGAAGCGUCGCUUUGGAUUCAGAGUGGUGCCCGAAACAUGGAAGCCUUUGGUUGGCAGCCCCCUGACCUCUAGCUAGCGUUACGGCUCUUCUGUCUUAAAUUCGGCUCCUAGACGCCCCCCUUAACAUAUGUAAUCACUGUCUAUUUCCAUUACCGUGUGCGAGUGCCCGGUUAACGGUCCGCGUUGUACAAACUUUGUAUUAAAUUCCUCUUAAUUGAAUGAUGCGCAGCUCUCCUGCGUAUUCUAGAAAAAGAAAGAAAGAAAGAGGAGCAGUGUCAGUUAGCACACUGUGCAGAGCAUAAAUGCAAGAUGAUAGCCAGUCUUAUUCAAGCAUGUGGAUGGAUGGUUGGAUCCGAUCAAUAUUAUUUAUUAUGAUGCAAGACAGCAGUACGAAUGCAAUUAUGCAUAGGUUGGAAUACUAUGGAAACCAUGUCCUUUUCCAUCAUGUUCUUCACGAUGAAGAGUUACAACGCGAGGUAAGAUUCGUACUCGAGUUUGGCAGCUGAUGGAACGUUGAUUGUGAAGUGAUGUGGCAAUUCCUCAAAAUUUUACCAAUCUACUUGCAGUAAUUUUUUCCCAUCCUCAUACGGGCCGGGUCUAUAAAUUUGCCACCUUGAUCUUCCUUCUCAUCACAACCAACUCAAAGCUCUUACUAGUGAGCACCUGCAGGCUGCAGUGCCAGAGAGAGAGGUAUGGCAACAUCAGUAGAGAUCAUGAACCCCAGCACUGAGGUUCUUGAGACUGCAGCCACCUCAGUGUUCCAGCCAGGGAAGCUUGCGAUCGAGGUGAUUCCUGUGGAUCAUGACACAAAUCCGACACCACCAAUUCCGAUCUUGAUUGCCUCUCCCAAGGAUGCAGGAACAUACCCGGUCGCCAUGCUCCUGCAUGGUUUCUGCCUCCAGAACCAUUUCUAUAAACAAGUUCUCAAACAUAUUGCCUCUUUUGGCUUCAUCAUGGUUGCACCCCAGGUUAACUAUCACUGCCUUCUAAUGUAUUUUACAUGCACUGUAUAGUCUAUGUUGAUUCAGAAACGUAGAAACUGUGAUGAUUACAGCAAGAUACCACACUAGAUCACAACUGCAUAAUCACGAUGAGAAUUCAUGUACUGACUUUUUUGGGAUACGAUUGGUUCACCCCAUGUCUGUUGGCUGACAUAAAUCAUGCAACUCUGUAAUUCUAUUGGCAGUUCCAUAUCAGCAUAUUGGCCAAAGGUGACACCGAGGACAUAGCCGCAGCAGCUGAAGUGACAGAUUGGCUCGCUAAGGGGCUACCAUCCAUCCUGCCCAAAGGCGUCGAGCCGAACCUUUCCAAGCUCGCUUUGGCCGGCCACAGCCGAGGUGGCCACACAGCGUUCUCUCUUGUCCUGGGGCAUGGCAAGACCAAUCUCAAGUUCUCUGCUCUCAUUGGUCUUGAUCCUGUUGCUGGCACAGGCAAGUCUUCGCAAAUCUCACCCAAGAUCCUCACCUACGAGCCCUCCUCUUUUGACAUAGCGAUGCCCGUCUUGGUCAUCGGCACUGGGCUGGGAGAGGAGAAGAAGAACAUACUAUUUCCUCCCUGCGCUCCCAAGGAUGUUAACCACAGGGAGUUCUACCACGAGUGCAGGCCACCUUGCUACUACUUUGUGACCAAGGACUAUGGACAUCUCGACAUGCUAGAUGACGAUGCUCCAAAGUUCAUGACCUGCAUGUGCAAAGACGGCAAAAACUGCAAGGACCUGAUGAGGAGGACCGUUGCUGGCAUCAUGGUAGCGUUCUUGAAGGCUGUGCUUAAUGAAGAAGAUGGUGAUCUUAGAGUCAUAAUGAAGGACCCUAAGCUCACACCAACCACAGUCGACCCUGUUGAGCACCGUCUGGCAUGAGCAGGAAGACCAUAAAUCAUAAGGACUUAUUGAGUUAAACAUAAGUGUCAGUUGCUUGUUUUUUUCCAUGUUUCCAAAAACUAAAUGUCACCUGUUGCUGUAUGUCCUUUCCUAAGUCCAAAUCAUAAUGAACUGAAUAAAAAUAAUGGACAGAGUUACAUCCGUGCAUUCUGCUUAAUGAUAAUGGCAAGCCCUUAACCCCAAAUCUAUUGGGGAAAGCUAUACUGGGCUAUGCAAAAAAAAUGCUCGGGUGAGCAGUAGACAGCCCCAAUCUGUUAUUCUCCUUUUUGUUCCAGGAGUUGUGUUUGUUUUGUACUCUGUACUUUGGUUUGUUCCCCUUUUUUAAUAAAACACGUGCUAUGCAGUUCUAAGCAAACAAAUCUAUUGGAAGAUGCUUCCUUUGAUAUUCAAUAAAAAUGAAAUCAACCCAAGUAUUUCUUUCAAAAGAAGCAAUGUGACAUUUUUUUCCCCUGCUGCAUCCAUUGGCAGCACUGUUGGAAACUGCAGUAUUUGCAUCUCUUGGCCAUAUCUUCUAGGCUGUCUUUCUAGGUUGCCUACGAGUACAAAGAGACCGAACUUCGCAAUCUCAGGUUGCAAAAGAAGUACUACUAAAUAUGCCAGAUUACAAGGUUAAGGGUGCCUAAUCUAAACGGGGUAAAAAAUGAGGGGCAUUCGAACCUGGGAGUACAUGUUGUCGAGAAAUUGCUUGGUGUGAAACUGAUAAUAAUGCGCACAAGAAAGAGACUUGAGAAGGCAGUUUCAGUCAUACCGCGCGGUUUCCGUGGAGUACAGAGCACCAGAAUGACACUUGGAUCUUUGCGUUUUCCGUGGCCUAGAUGAGCCGACAAGUCUUUGAAACAUGGCCCUUCGCUCCUUUUUGUUAUUCAAACCUCCUAGUCUUUGAUCGAGAAUUAGCUUGAGAAUUGGUAAAUUAUAUUAUAACAUACACAAUUAUUAAUGUUAAGAAAUACAGUCAAAAUUAGUUCGAAAAUGAACUAGGUAGCUGGUCUCAAACACCAUAAAUUUGACAAUGGAGAUAGUACGUGCCAAGGUUCGUCACCAUACACACGUAUUGCAUUUCUGUAAGAUGUUGUUCCUCAUUUUUCAGACGUUCGCCCGUUUCUUCCUAACAAAACUGACUUUCAGAUUUUACAUCCAGGACAAGACCACAAGAGAUUACAUGCAUGCCAUGCACGCGUGAUGAAAACGUGACUGUUUUAUUUCACAGCAUGUCCCUUGCAGUUCUUCUGCUGCAGAAAGCCAGAAAUUCCUUAGCAAAGCUACUAGACAACAAUUCACGGAGCAGAGAGCUACUCAAACUCACUUUGCCCACGCUCCUCAGCUCGUACGUACACGUAGGGCCAGCCGGCAGCGGACUCUAUAAAUUUGCCACCAAGCUUCAUCCUCUUUUCUCAUCAUCACCAGUCAUCAGUUCAUCAAUUACGAUUCACAGCCAACUCCAGCUUUUACCCGCCAGUACCUACAUUUGAGACAGCGUGAGCAAGAGAUAAGGUGGCAGCACCAUGGCGACCCAGCAGGUUCUUGAGCCUGUGGCGGCAGUCACCUCGAUGUUCCAGUUCCACAACGACAUCGCCGCGGCGGCCAGGGUCACGGACUGGCUCCCCGAGGGCCUGCUGCCCGUGCUCCCGGCGGGCGUCGACGCGGACCUCGUCAGGCUCGCCCUGGCCGGUCACAGCCGCGGCGGCCACACGACCUUCGCCCUGGCAGUUGGGGCACGCCGCCAAAACCACCACCCUCAAGUUCUCCGCGCUCAUCGGGCUCGACCCCGUCGCCGGCACCGGCCGGUCCUCCCAGCUCCCGCCGGCGAUCCUACGAACCCUCCUCCUUGUCCUUCUCCUUCGCCGCCGCGGCGCUGGUCAUCGGCACCGGGCUGGGCGGCGACAGGGAGAACGCGCUGCUCCCUUUCCCUCCCUGCGCCCCCGGGGAGGUGAGCCACACGCGGAGUUAAUUCUACCGCGAGUUCAAGCCGCCGUGCGCGCUACCACGUCGUGGCCGGGGACUUCGUCCACCUCGACAUGCUCGACGACGACGACGCGCCCAGGCUGGAGACCUGCCUCUGCAAGGAAGGGGACGGCUGCAAGGGCGUGAUGAGGAGGACCGUGGCCGGGAUCAUGUGGUCGCCUUCUUGAGUGUUCUGAGCGAAGGGGAUGGCGAUGAUGAUCUGAAGGCCAUACUCUCGUUACUCGGAGAUCCCGGGCUCGCACCAACCGCGUUGGACCCUGUUGAGUACCGGUUGGCAUGAACAGAAAAGAUCGUCAUCGUUACCAGGCCUCGUCCGAUUCCUUCGGAAAUAGUCCAGGACCAUUCCAAAUCCGACUCCUUCACUCGAUCAUGGUCUGAUUCUAUUUCUGUCCAGGAACUAUUCCAACCUUCAAAAUUGGUGUUGUUCGGCUGGACAGAAAUAGACUGUCCAGGGUUUCAGUUAAAAACACAAAACAAAAUCUGUAGCUCUAAAAUUAAAUUACUCUGAAACAGAAUAGCUAUCAACCUGUAAAGGGUUCUAUCUUGUAGAAUAGCUUAACAUAAGCUGGCACAGAACUGUAGUUUAAACACUAACAACAAAAUAGAACCAGCCAAAUUAGAUCAUCGACGGUCAGGCACCAAUGAAACAGGAGAAUCACAAACAAGACGAGCAAAACAGGAGAAUAGCUUUCGAAAAGGUAAUGAUACGAAACCCAAGCGUUUGCAAAGACUAUUAUACCGGAACCAAGGUAUCAAGAUAGCACAAUUUUUCUGCAUAUGUCAGCACUCGCCGAUCCGGAUAACAUUACUAGUACAUAAUAACUGUCCUUCAAAAUUAAACACCUCGCGCAAAGGGAAACACCAUGUCCAAACUAGGGGCAACUUCACUCCAUGGAUGAAGAGGUUGCGCUAGCAACAAAGCUGCUGCCACCGCCACGGCCAAAGCCAGGUCUUCCACCAGAACUCUGCAGAGUUUGCGGGAUGGAAAUAAACAUUAGCAUUCAUGAAAUAGAUGGUGAUCAACUCAUGUUACACAUUGCUAAUUCGUCUGACAAGUUACACAAUGAAAAGGGUAUGAGCAUAUAAAAAAUAGAGUAAACAUUACGAUCUAUGAUUUAAACCAUGACGAUAGCUUCUUGGUCUGACCGUUCAUUUUCACAAAGACUAAUCCAUCUGAACGAAUGAAAAGAUCAACGAACUAGCCAACCUUAAAAACUAGGCUGUUUCACAAAAUUGAGUACCAGCGACAUAUGACUACAUGUAGCUACUUAAUUGCUUUAGCUAAAACAGUAGUAUAAAUAGACAACGAAUUUAUGAGGUAAGUAGACAACAACUUUACCUGCUAGGUCAUCUCAUUCCUAAGCCAAAUCAAAGUGGAUUCUUCAUCUUCUUCACUAGCACAAAUAAAAGUCUCCCUGUUUUCUUUGCUCUUGGUAAAGAUUGCAUAAGCUUUGGCCUUUUCCUAUUUGGCCACUUUCAUUGUGUUGAUGAUUGAUAUGCACCUUUUGAUGGAGUAUUCAUCACCUUUAGCAGCCUCCUUAUCUCUUGCCUUCUUUUCUCUUGUCUCAUUUUCUCUUGCCUCAUUUUCUCUUACUAGCUGUUUAGUUUCAUUUUCUGCUUGCUUUGUCCUCAUUUCAAGGAAUCUCUCCAUCAUAGCUUCAAUUUUUACACUCUUUUCUAGGCCUUUGUCCUUUUUUUUUCUGAUUUCUUUCUUGAUGCAGCCAUUCUUCGUUCUCCACUUCUUGCCUCCUCUUCAUCUCUUACAUCCUUUUCUUCAUUCUCUUCAUCACGUAUCUCAAUUUCCUGUAGAGCCUCUUCCUCAGCUUCUUCCUCUACAUCAUCAAUUUGGUGAAGGGGCUCUUCCACACAUUGUGAUUCAAUAGAAGCGAAAUUGUAUGUCCCUUCAGCCAGAUGACCUACAUUUGGCACAAUACAUUUAGAGAAAUAGUACAAGUACCUAUUUUACAUCAUAGAGAUCUGACUGGGAAAUAGCUUAUUAUAUAGAACUUACGAUCAUAGAGUUCUCCCAAAGCAUAAAAAAGCGGAAAGUUUGCCUUGUUGUUUUGAAACUUCUUGAUUUUGGGGAAAGUCUGCAAUUUGAAGAAAAUAUUGAUCAAAUACAAAGUUAUCACUAUGAGGUUAUCCAUAAAAUUACUUCAAGAAAUUAACUUACCACCAUGAGGUUCUCCCACAUUGCUGCUGAUCCUUCAACCAUAUUUCUUUGUUCAUUCUAUUUUGACCCACUUUGCAUUCUUGCCACUUUGACCAUUUUGUAGUCUCUCUUAAGCUGACAUUCUUUAUCUUCAAUUUGUGCCUUUGUAUAUAAGACAGACUUGUUUCUCAGAUGGAACUCUUUCACCAUCUUGUUCUAUCCUUCAGUGUUCCAACCGUUGUCACUUUUAUAGCCACUAUCUUUAUACUCAUGCAAAAUUUCAACAAGUGAUUUCUCAAGAGUUGUGUUCCAGUCUGCUCUUUGUUUUCCUACAUAAACAAUCAUCAAGCAUUAGUAAUAGAAAUUUCAUAGCAUCAAUAAUACAAAAUUGACAAGAAAGCAUGAAGAAACAUUAAACACCAUACCUCGUGGUGAACCUCCACUCCUCUUUGCCCCACUGCAUUUAGGAGAAGGCUUCUUUUUAGUAGCACUUGUUGUAGGCAGGAACCUACUUAACUUUGGCGACCCCCUUGCAAUCACAUUGAGCUUUGGGGAGCCUUUUCCAGCUAUCAUUUUCAAAGAAAAAAUUUAUUCAUCAACUUAUUUAUGAUACAAUCUUAUUAACUUAUUCAUCAACUUAUUCAUGAUACAAGCUUACAUGUUGGUGGUACUGAACCCACAUUUCUUGGAUGAUGGUAUCUCUCAAAGCAUUGCCUUGUGCAGUGCCUGAGUCAUUGAUUUGAUUGUCAUUGGGUAGAGAAACAAAGUGUGUUGGAUCGAUAUUAUCCGGCUGAUGAUCCAACCAUUCCUCAUCUCCAUGAAGUAAUCAGAUUAGAUUGUGGAAGAUGGUUACAGCUACUUGGUAUUUUCACUUGAUUUUCCAAUGUAUGGAAUGUGGCAACUUUGAGAAUGGGGAAGCGCUUCUUAAGCACUCCCAAAGUCCUUUCGACAUGGUUACUCAGUAGUGCAUGGUGGUGGUUGAAGAGAUCCUUUGAGUUUUGUGAUCUUCGAUGUCCAGCUCCAAAUUCUUUCAAAUGGUAUCGAACCCCUCGAUAUGGAGCGAGGAAAGAUGGAGUAUUUGUAUACCCUCCAUCAACCAGAUAGAAUUUGCCUGGAGGUACCUGGAAGCCCGUUCUCAUAGCCGAUCUUAGCACUCUAGAAUCUGUAGCUGAUCCCUCCUAUUCACUAGAAAUAAAAGUGAUGUUGAGAUCGAAAUCACAUGCCACCAUCACAUUAAUGCUGAGUGUGCCCUUCCUAUUCCUAAAAGGAGAAUGCUUCUCAGGGGAUAUGGAAACGGGGAUAUGAGUUCCAUCAAUGGCACCAAGACAAUUCUUGAAGAAUGGAUAUAAUCUAGGAUUAUCUUGGAUUUUCGGAUGCAAUUGAUUAGGAUUGGGGGACUGGAGGAAACGACGAGAAAGUGUGGGAAUGACCUUCUUGAAGAAGUGAUUGAUGUGAUGAUGGUAGGUGUCGUUGCUGUGCCCAAAGGUCAUUGCAAGAUCCUCAUAUGAGGCGUUACGACUUAACAUGUAUAGGAAGAAAUCCAACUUCUCCUCCACCGUAAUCCUUGUAUCAACAAUGAGCCUUUUCCUUCUAAGAUAAGUCACCAACUCUUUGAAGAUGUGGGGUUUCAUCCUAAAUGUAACUUGACAGUUCUUGAUAUGUCCCUCAAGGAGUUGAUGAACCUUAACCUCUCCUGUUUCUUCUGAUGUAUGACGUUUCUUCUUUACUCCCUCUUCUCUAGCAGAACCCAUCAGAUAUAAGGCAGGGAAUAGAAACAUCAUCAUGUCAUCAUCUUCUUCCUCCCUCCUCUUUCUAAUACGAUCUCUCAAUGAGAUAUUCAUUGUAGAACUAGAGCAUAUAAAUUUAUAGUCAAAUAGAAGCUAAAUAGAUAAAAUGGAAGGGUAAACAUGUUUCUAAACAGGUUUCUGUAUCUAUCGGAUUCUGUACCUAUUUUGAAUAGAAAAAAAGAAAGAUUUAAACAUAGACAUAAUUCUGUACCUAUUGGAGUUGGUACCGAAUCCCAAGAAGGUGGAGGUUCACCUUCCCCAACUCUUAAUUGUGCUGGUGGGAUCUACAAGUAACAAGAAAAAAACAUUAAGUUAUUUUGUAAAACAGUGCACUAAUACUAGUACAUUAGUAAGUAGCUAUGGCAAAAAGAAUUGAAAAUCUAAAGCUUGAACUGCUUGACUGCAAGGGAGAAUACAAUCUAAAACUUGGAUAGCCAAGAAAAUCUUGGAUACAAAUCAGAUUGCAAAUGGUACAUUGUUUAAGCCAAAAUAUGUUAUUACUGCUACAGAUCCCAAAUGAGCCUUCAAGAAUAAAAAAAAAAUCCGACCACCACACCCACGUUACAUACUACAGAAAAAUGAUGACGCCCACCCGCGUUCCAGAAUACAGAAAAAUGCCGACCCUACAAACCGAGCAGUGCUAUAAAGCACCAAAUUUCCAAGGAUGAACAUGAGACUGAGAGCACAAGUCUGACUAACACAAGCUUAAUAAAAUAACUAAAGAGGCCGGGGGGGGGGGGGGCACCGGACAGAUUCACAACAGGGUUCAGGUUUAGAGUAAGUUAUACCCUACUACAACCUAUUGCUCCAUAUUAUCUCAUCAGAUUAGCCAGUUUCACUAACAAAAGUUUCUGGAACUCUGCAAUUAAUAAUUAGUACCAAAACACAAUUGCAUAUUGCCAUAUUGUGAUAAGCACUAUAGCUUGUGGUAGUACAACGCAACAAUAACUGACUAACAGGAAUCCACGUACGGAUAGCACAAGAAUUCUUAGAAACUAGAAAGUGUCAAAACUGGAUUUUCCCAAUACACUUUCAAGGCUCAUUGUUUCAGCCUUCAAGGUACAACUGCAGAAUGGCAAGCCUUGCAAUCUUGAAUCAGCGCUGGCGAUUCCUACCUAUGUUUUCAAUCCCUGGAUCGCAACGAAUCCUACCUAUAUUUUCAGCGCAACGAGGAGUCAACUACACCCCAAGAACAAUCGAAUCCACUACACCCUAGGCUUGGAAACCUCAAGAACAAGAAUGCGAGGAUGAGAGAGGGGGAGGGAGAGAUGGCGGCGCUCACUGGGGAGAAGGCGGCGGAGAGGGUGGAGGCUGGACGGGAGCUAGUCGCCGUUGGGAAUGUGUUGCGCCGCCACGCCGUCACCUCACGUCACCACACCGCCACCUCGUCACCUCGCGCGCCGCCAGCGGAGCCGCGCCUUGCGUCGCCUCGUGGAGUCUCGCGCCUCACGCCGCCAGCGGAGUCUGGCCUCACGUUCGUGGGUUUCGAUCCGGGUGUGAGGAGAUAGGGUUCCAAUCCGGGCCAUCUAGUGUGGGAGAAUUCCAAUCUAGGCCCGUUUUCAUUCCGAGCUGUAUCUAACCGAACAACCAUUUUUUAUCCGGCCUGACUUUGAACCGGGCCUAUUCGAUUCGGGUGGAACAUGCCACAUUCCGGGCCGUUCCAGUCGAAACGAACGAGGCCUUACUAAGGGCGGAUCCAGCACCAAGGCGGAUGGGCCUAAAGCCCCUCCUACCGUUGGUAGAGCCAUGGAGCCCCUUCUAAGCUCCCCUACAAAUUUACACCCAUUGAAGUUUGAAAGAAGAAUAAGUUCCUCCUGCUAAAUUUGUUUGUUUCUUUAGCUUGUUAUUCCUGUAUACGCAACUCUUUAUUUCAUUCGUUCUUAUACACUGACACUGUGCAAACAAUUGCAGUAAGAAAAUUGGAUCAGUUUGUUUGGAUAAAAAUCGUAUUGCUUCCACCACUGAUUGACCAUGUUGGGCCGGGCCUUUGAUAUUGCUUCCACCACUGCUUCUUCUCCGGCAGCUUCCUUACCGAGUUCUCCAUCUCUGACCACACCAAAGUUACAGCUUUUGCGCACGUGCAAUUUCUGUGAAGAGAAAGCCUGAAUACUACGUACGGAGUGCCAAGGAUUGAUCGAUCGAUGUAACAGCGAUUGCUUCUGAAUAUUACUUAUGUGCACCUAGUAAUAAUCUAAAAAAAUUACUUACUUUUUUGCAGCAAAUAAUGUUUUUUCCUCGGUCCAUCAACUGAAGAGAAAGACCAACGUAGUGUUCAUCUAAACGGUCAUGUAGCCCGUCUGUCUAGAUGAUGUUUAAACGCUAGUGGACAAGUUUGUGUCUAGUUUUAGCAGCGGCAAAAUACUAUCUCAACGUGCUCUCUAUAAAAAAAAUAUAUGUAGAGGUCUCUUUUGGAGAGAGAAUAUCCUAGAAAGAAAAUGUUAUAAUUAUGAAUACCAGCCCUUCCACCAUUCUCCGUUCUUCUUUGCAGGCGGCUCUACCCACUAUUUGUAUUUCGAGAUAAAUUUCAAAUAAUGUUCCAAAAUGAUUAAAACACCUAUCGCAGCCUUUUACAAGUUUUGUUGGUAAAAUAAUUAUUUCGUUCAAGAGGCACUAACUUUCACUUAAAAAUAAUUUAAUUAUAUUUUUUCAAACUGCGAAAUGUGUAUUUUUUUAUUUUUGCGCAUUUUUCAUAUAUAAAAUAUUUCUUUGGCUGACCAGUAAUGUAAAUACAACACAUGAGGGGGGGAAAAAUACAAGGGGUAGUAUUGGUAUUUUGAAUUUUCUCCCUCAGAAAGGUCUAUAUCAUUUGUGUCGCUACGGAAAAUGUUAGAAAUGGUAUUUUUUUAAAAUCAUUUUGUACACACCGUUGUGAUGGAACCGUGUCUCUUUUAUGAUGGCACUAUGCUAAUUGGCUCGACCAAAUCAAGAUAACGCCUAGUGGCAAACAUAUCUUUUUUCUAACCUGAAAGAACCAAACAAAAACCGAGUCAUAUUGCACAUUAUAUAGUAUAUAAUUACAUAUAAAAAAAGUAGUAGCACUCGUACUACAUAUGGUUAAUUAAAAGAGAUAGAGAAAGCGAGAUAAGACGAGACCGCGAUUCCAAGGCCGCGGGAGGGCAGGGCGAGGCGCAGCCUCCACCUCACGUUUCCCCCAUCAGACGCUCCUCGUCGCGCCACGCGUCGCGCAUCCAGCGGAGAUUCGUCUCCCCUUCCUCCUCCACGUCCGCCACGGGACAACCGCGGCGGCUUCAUCACCAUAAAAUCUCCCACACGCCACGAGAUGGGGGAAGAGAGAAAAAAAAAAGAAAGAAAAGAAAAGGAAAGGCGGAAGCUAAAACAAGGUUGGCGGCUUCCCGACGAAACCUCCCGUUCCUCCGCGACCCCGCGAGGCCUCCGCCGCCGUCCGAUCCCUCCCCAUCGCCGCCGGUACCGCCUCCCUCCCCCUACUACUCCUCCUCCUCCUCCUUAUCUUCUUCCUCCCCUGCCUUGUGCGCCUCCCUUUCCUCCCCCCACCCAAUCAUUGCUCGAGCGCUUCCCCCCCCCUGCAAAUCCCCACCAGCUCGGGCUCGGCUUAAACUUCACCUUGCUGAUUGGCCCCUCUUGCUAAUUAGGUGCUUUGUUCGGUUCUUGCCUUCCUCGCCUCGUUUCCUUUUCGAUUUCUCUUCGAUUGGAGCCUGAGCGAUUCGUGUCUUCCUCUUGCAGUUCAAUCCCCAUCAGGAGAGCAGGCGAUUCAAGCGGCUUGGCCCAAGAAUUUGGGGGCUCCGGGAUCUCGGUUCCUGAUCGGUAGUUGUGUGGGUGCCGGAUCCAGCGGCCGUCAUCAUGGUUGUCGAUACGGUCAGCGCGAGCACCUCCAUUAUUGCGCCCCACCUGUUCGACCAGAGGUCCAGGGGCCCCCACCGCCCCCUCCGCCGGACGUUCCAUGUCGUCGCCUGCCGCCCCCUGCCCACCGCCUUUGCGGGCCGCCGUCUCGUGGCCCGGGGCACCAGGCAGCCGUCGCCGCGGCUCGCGGACUGGUCGGUCAAGGCGCUGGCUAUGGGGGUCACAAAGGAGGCUAGCCCUCGCAGGGAGUACCGGGGGAUCCCCGGGGACGGCGGCGACAUGGGGGAUGUUGGGGUCACCAACCCGGCCCCGUCCUUGCCUCCGCGGAACAGGGCAGAUGACCCCAAGCUGCACAACCCGCUGCUCCGUCUCGAGCGGAUGGGCUGUGGGUGGCUCGGCGUCAUCUUCGAGUGGGAGGGGGUCAUUGUUGAGGAUGAUGCCGAAUUGGAAAGGCAGGCGUGGUUGACCCUGUCACAGGAGGAGGGGAAGUCGCCACCUCCGGCCUUUGUGUUGAAGAGAGUUGAAGGGAUGAAGAACGAGCAGGCGAUUUCUGAGGUUCUCUGCUGGUCUCGAGACCCUUCGGAGCUGAGGAGAUUGGCCUCACGAAAGGAGGAGAUACACUCCAGCCUCCGUGGCGGCUCCUUUUACCAGAUGAGGAAUGGUUCCAGGGAGUUUAUGAGCACGCUUGCCAAUUACAAGAUCCCUAUUGCCGUGGCCACCACACGCCCACGGAAGGUUAUCGAAGAAGCCAUCGAAGCUGUUGGCGCGCGGAGCUUCUUUGAUGCUGUCGUGGCAGCAGAGGAUGUUUAUCGGGGCAAACCUGACCCUGAAAUGUUCCUGUAUGCUGCUCAGCUCCUCAGUUUCAUCCCAGAGAGGUGCAUCGUGUUUGGGAACUCCAACUCAACGGUGGAAGCCGCCCAUGAUGCCCGCAUGAAGUGUGUCGCGGUUGCAAGCAGGCACAAAAUCUAUGAGCUUAGUGCUGCAGACCUUGUGGUGAAGCAACUGGACGAGCUAUCUGUUGUUGACUUGAAGAACCUCACUGAUAUCGAGUCUCCAGAGUUUGGCAUGGAACCUGAACCAGAGAUGGAGGAGGAGGAAGAAGUGUCCCGACCAUCAUCGUCAGUGGGUGUAGAUGACAUAUUCUGGUAAGAGGCUAGAUUGUACAUUUGAUUGAUUCCUCUCCUGCACAGAUGUAUUAUUGUCAACUGUUGUAGCGAUCAGGAAGAAGGGCUUAUCAUCCUUCUAAUCAGUAGAAUGUGAUAUGUAAAAAUGUUGUUUAGAGCUCACACACUGUAUAUAUUACUCAGAAAGAAAGCAGGGAACUGAAUAUAUCAAUCAGGACAUUUGAAACUGCAGUUCCUGAAAAUAUGUAUAACACCACAAUGUUUCUAUCGUUAAAUCAGUAUUCCAGGUGCUACUGUUCUAUUCUCUGCAGUCUUGUUCGUUCAGUAUCUAAUAAAAAUUCUCUGCAGUCUACUCGAUUGAAAGUAGUGUUUGGUCACCAUUGUGGGUAUUCUUGUUAGGACUGAUGAUUAUGUUUCCUCUUUAGGAGUUAUCCUCAUUAGUGGAAAUGUUUGUUCGAGGUUAUGCCUAAGGCAUUAGUUUGCUUGAGCUUGAUGCUGGCACUAAAUUCAUAUAGAUGGCUUUGGGACAAUGAUCCUUGAGCUUGUUUCUGAAAAAUGUUGUGCUUCAGCACGAAAAGGUUGAUGAUGGCACUAAAUUCUAAUGCUGCAACGCAUCUGUUUAGGCAUUUAUGUUUGCUACUUAAAAAGUUGGAUACAUGGUGUCAGUUCAUUCCAUGCAGAGAUGCUAGACUUUUUUCCUUCCCCUAUGAGUUGAUCAACUGCCUGAAAAUUGGCCUUUUGUCGAAUGUUAUGCUACGGACCUGGUACGCUAAUUCAGCAAAAUAUGCAUGGUAUUGUUUGCAGUCGGCUAUGAUGUACUGAAGGGCACUGUAGUCGUGAAUCCUGAGUUUAACUCUUUUGAACUCAAAUGACACAGUUACAGCAUUUUCUCCUUUGAGCCAAUUUAACUGUGUAGCAGGAAAGAAACGAUCUUUGUCUCAAAUUGUGGUUGCCCUUUUGAACAAAUCAUUCAACAUUGUCCAGUUGCAAUGAUAAGGGAGUGCAAUGAUAAGGGAGUGUUUGGAUACGAGGUGCUAAACUUUAGGAGGGUCAUAUCGGAUGUUCGGACGCUAAUUAGGAGGACUAAAUAUGAGGUAAUUAUAAAACUAAUUGCAGAACUCCUAUACUAAUUCACGAGACGAAUCUAUUAAGUCUAAUUAAUCCAUCGUUAGCGAAUGGUUACUGUAGCACCACAUUAUUGAAUCAUGAACUAAUUAGGCUUAAUAGAUUCAUCUUACGAAUUAGACUUCAUCUGUGCAAUUGGUUUUAUAAUUAGACUAUAUUUAAUACUUCUAAUUAGUAUUCAAACAUCCAAUGUAACAGGUACUAAAGUUUAGAAGGGUAAGCACCCUAAGACCAACAACUACAACUAAUCGACCAGUCCAACAUGCCGCUUUGCCUUUGUCUGGAACUGUAAGGAUCGACCAGUCCAACAUGCCGCUUUGCUUUUGUCUGGGACUGAAAGGAUGCCAAUGGAAGCAAGCAAUCAAAAGCUGAAACGCAACACCAACCGUCUGACGGUAGCCAAGCAAGUCCCUGAUGGCUGCUGCUUGCUGGCUCGCUCUCUAGAGGCAUGGCGUUGGCGUGGCAGUGCCAAUGGGCGUUGGCAAGGGGAGAGGCGCGUGCGAGCAUGUGUGCGUGCGCCCCUGGCCACUGGGAACGGGAAGGGAGGCGCCCAAUCACAUGCGCCCCAUGUGCGGCGCCAAUCCUCCCCCUCGACCGGCUCGUCCCUUCCGCGAUGGUGGCGAGGGCGAGGAGGCGACGCGGAGGCGCUCCCAAGCGUGCGCGCCUCCUGGCCAUCGCGGCCGUCCAUCCCUCCACACGUGUCGCCCCCGCGCGGCCACCGUGCCAACCAUAUCACUCCAAGCACGCCGCCGCACGGCUCGCACGCGUGAGCGACCCCGCUGGUCUCCCCCCUUGUUCCCCUCCCCUGCAUCUCCCUCCCUCCGUUCCCCCGCGGCGCGAGAUCCGGGAUGCAGCAGGCGGCGGGGCCGGCCGAGGACGAGGACGAGGAGAUGGGGGUCAAGGAGGAGGACGGCGACGAGGAGGAGGAGGAGGAAGACGACGGCUACUACAUGGACCCGUGCCCCGCGGCCGUCGCGUCGCCUCCCGGCGUAGGCGGCGGCAGGGCGAACCCGGCGAGCCGGCGGCGCGCGCGCGAGGAGAAGGAGCGGACCAAGCUGCGGGAGCGGCAGCGGCGCGCGAUCACGGGGCGGAUCCUGGCGGGGCUGCGCCAGCACGGCAACUACAGCCUGCGGGCGCGCGCCGACAUCAACGAGGUGAUCGCGGCGCUGGCGCGCGAGGCCGGGUGGGUCGUCCUCCCCGACGGCACCACCUUCCCCUCCUCCGCCGCCGCGGCUGCGCAGGUUGGUCGCUCUCUCUGCUGCUUCCUUCUCAGUCAGUCAGUCAGUCAGUCAGCGAUGAGUAUGCGAUUGGGAAAGAAGGGAAUGAAUGAAUGGCCUGCUGCUGUGGUGUGGUGUGAACUGGCAGCUCGCCACUGGCUCUGCCUGGCAGCCAAGGGAAAAAGCAGCUUGGGAGUCAGUAGCUAUCCAGCAUCCACUGCCAUUUAUGACGUCAUAAAUGAAGGCCCGCCGGCUCCGACAGUGUGGGCAAAUAAAAAUGCUUCGGGCUUCGCGGGAAUGGAAUGGACUAGUGUGAAAAUACUGUAGAAAGGGACGGUUUACACGAGGUAGUAAAUAAAAAUUUAAAAAAUGGAUGGUGGAAUACCGUAUCGUAGUUGAAAAAUUAAUACGAGCAGGAAAAAUAAUUACCAGCGUAUUCUGCCGUCCAUCGCACGGAAAGGGAGAAAGGGCGGAGGACAAGCGGCCAAAAUAAGCAACAGAAGCCAGCCGCAGGCCGCAGCCCGUCACGGGGCUCACGGCGUUUUUCGCUGCUCGGUUGCUCCUCCCCCGUUCCCGCCUCCCGAGGGCGCGCUCAGCCACCGCCCACCGCCCACCGCCGCCUCCUCCCCGGUCCCCGGCCUCCCUCUCUCAAAUUCCGGGGCCGCCUGAUCCGGAUCGGAAUGCUGACGCGUGCGCCCCCUCGUGUGUUCCUCCUCCAGCCGGGCCCCCGCCCCGUGAUGGUCGCCGCCGCGCCGCUCGCGCUCCCGACCUCGCCGGCGCUCCCCCUCCGCGGCAUCUCGCCCGUCGCCGCCCGCCCCAUCUCCCACCGCCCCGCGCCGGCGUCCUCCCUCCUCCUCUCGCCCCCGCGCGCCGCAGGAGCCGCCGCCGCCUCCUCGCGUCCCCCGGCGGACGACGUCCCUGACGGCGGCAGCUCCUCGCACCUCCUCGCUGUCCCCGUCAACGUCCCCAUGGACCCCGCGGUCGCCGAAGACGCCGCCGUCGCCAAGCAGGUCAGCGACUCCCGCCGCCUUACUUUCGCUUUGCGUCCCUUGCUUCGGCUCAUCUGUCUCUCACACGAUUGUUGGGCUUCCUGCUGCAGGUGCCCGAGGUGGCGCCGCGCCCGCCGGAGCGGGACUUCGCCGGCACGCCCUACGUUCCCGUCUACGUCAUGCUCCCCGUAAGGAUGCAUCUCCUCCAUUUCCUUGUACUGGACUUGCGCGAUCGUGUUCCGAUUCAUGCUCGUGUGUUUGGCAGCUUGGGGUGGUCAAUGUCAGCGGCGAGGUGGUGGACGCGGACGAGUUGGUGGGCCAGCUGCGGGUGCUCAAGGCAGCCGGGGUGGACGGGGUCAUGGUCGACUGCUGGUGGGGGAACGUAGAGGCGCACAGGCCGCAGGAGUACAACUGGACUGGCUACAAGCGCCUAUUUCAGAUGAUCAGGGAGCUCAAGCUCAAGUUGCAGGUAAGAUGACUCAGCAUCUCAAUGCAAACUUCAGCAAUUUGCUAUUCUCUGAUUGUUGUGUGUCGCUUGAUGUAACACUUCUACAUCGAUCAUCUGUUGGUGAAGAAUGUCGUACUUCAGCGGCGAUUUCCUUUGCUCAUGUGGCUUACAUGCUGCUCUCGUUGAAUUGCUUAGGUGGUCAUGUCAUUCCAUGAAUGUGGUGGCAAUGUUGGCGACGAUGUGUCAAUUCCUCUCCCACAUUGGGUAACAGAGAUUGGAAGGAGCAACCCAGAUAUCUACUUUACUGACAGGGCAGGAAGGCGUAAUACUGAGUGCUUGUCAUGGGGGAUUGAUAAAGAAAGGGUUCUCCAAGGCCGAACAGCAGUGGAGGUACAAUCAUUUUGCUGGAUCUUGCUCAGUACUUAUCGCUCUGAAAGUUUGACUAAAGGUUAUCUGCUUGUUGAUUUCCACUUGCCUCCUAUAAUUCUGCAUCUUGAUCUUGUUGGCUAGUUUUGAUACUACAAGCUGCAGAGUGGCUUCGCAUGAAACUGUUAUUGUUAUGUAUGCAUUGUCAUGUGUUGCACUUUCAUGAUAAUGUUAUAAUAUUUUAGGAUGGUUGAAAGAUGAAAUUGGUUUUGUUCUAAAGAAAAUGCAUGUUCUGUAUACGCACACCUUUCAAUUCAUUUUCAGUGGAAGGCCAAUUGUGUUUACACAUUUCUUAUUUUAUUCCCAUAUAUCAAUGUAGGUAUAUUUUGACUUUAUGAGAAGCUUCCGAGUGGAGUUUGAUGAGUAUUUUGAGGAUGCGAUCAUCUCAGAAAUUGAGAUUGGACUAGGGGCUUGUGGAGAGCUGCGAUAUCCAUCUUAUCCAGCAAAACAUGGUUGGAAAUACCCUGGCAUUGGGGAAUUUCAGGCAAGUCUUCACACUUUGCUCUUUCUGUUGCACUUGCAUUAUUCUCAGGGUUUAGUAAAUACCUAUUGGUAUAUUUUUAUCAGCCAUUGAGAAUGUAUUGCCUCUUCAGUGCUAUGACAGGUACUUACAGAAAAAUUUGAGAAGAGCUGCAGAAGAACGGGGGCAUACUAUAUGGGCAAGAGGACCAGACAAUGCUGGCCAUUAUAAUUCGGAACCAAAUCUCACUGGGUUUUUUUGUGAUGGAGGAGAUUAUGAUAGUUAUUAUGGCCGUUUUUUCCUCAACUGGUACUCUCAGAUGUUGGUGGAUCAUGCGGACCGUGUACUGAUGUUAGCAAGGUUGGCUUUUGAGGGUUUAAACAUAGCUGUUAAGGUUAGUUAUCACUGUUAACUUCACACAUCCAAUUCCAGCACUUUGGUUGUUUUGCAGGCAUUCAUUCUUUCUUUUAGAAACCUGAUCUUACAAGUGUUAAAGUGGACUGAUCUUUACCAUUUACAUCCCCAAAUCAAAUAAAAUGAUUGAAUACCCUAUCCACUUAUGUGAUAUUUACAGGUCUCUGGAGUGCACUGGUGGUACAAAACUGCCAGUCAUGCUGCUGAAUUGACUGCUGGGUUUUACAACCCAUGUAACCGUGAUGGCUAUGCUCCAAUUGCUGCAGUAUUGAAGAAAUAUGAUGCUGCUUUGAACUUUACAUGUGUUGAAUUGCGCACUAUGGACCAGCAUGAGGUAUACCCUGAGGCAUUUGCAGAUCCAGAGGGCCUGGUAUGGCAGGUAGGGAUCCUUUCUUCCAUUGCCUGUUUUUGCAUUUCCUUAGCAACAGCUUACUUGCUGAUGUAUUGAAUUCUCUAGUGAGCAAAUACUUGGCAGCUGCACAGCAUCAUAUGUUCGCUAUUUAAUUACAAACACAUUGAUGUUGUAUUAGUGUCUUAUCAAUUGGAUGCAUUGUUUUUCAGGUGCUAAAUGCUGCGUGGGAUGCUGGUUUACAAGUGGCUAGUGAGAACGCUCUACCUUGCUACGAUAGAGAAGGAUUCAACAAGAUUCUGGAGAAUGCCAAACCACUGAAUGACCCAGAUGGACGGCAUUUGUUUGGAUUCACCUACCUGAGGCUUAGCAAAGUUCUGUUUGAGAGGCCCAACUUUUUCGAAUUCGAGCGCUUCGUCAAGAGAAUGCAUGGUAAGAUAUACUGGCCCACUGGAGUGGUCUGAGUCUGACAGCAAUCCUAUUUUAGCGCCAGUUAAUCAGAUGUUGACCUCUUGUGACGUUCUUUGCAGGUGAGGCGGUUCUUGAUCUGCAAGCAUAGAUGUGUAGCUUAUUACAUACACAUAUACAAGUGAUUCUGAUUGGCUUAGGCCUUACGGCCUACAUUUUUGCUCCUUUUUUUUGGUUGCGUAGGUGGUAGUAUCAGCUGAUUUUUGACCUGUUACAUAGAAUAGAACUCGCUGCUCUAUUUGUAAAGGCUAUUUAUAUAUGAAGACCCGUGGGUUUACUUGAAUUUUGGUGGGUAAACAGUGAAUUCGCAUCCAUGGAUGCCGUUGGCAACACUACAUCUGCCUUGCAUUGCAUGGCACAUUGGGCGCGGGCAGUCCCGUAAAGAUUCAUGAGGCUGCGCAGCGUGGUCUUUGGGCGUGAAACCUGAAAACCCAGGCAUUCUGGAACAAAGUGUUUCGAUUGUACUGUCCGCAUGUAAAUGAUGCUCAGCAAUGGAAGUUGAGUUUGGACUUGUCAAACGCCUCAUUUGCAGUUUAAGCGUGUGUUUGGUACUGUGCUUACUUCACCUAUAGGUACUGGCCUGAUUAUUCCUUCACAAAACUUGUCUGCACGGGCCUCAUGUCACCGUAUGAUCGAGCCGCGCAGAAAGGGGGAAAAAAGUGAUCAUCUUCUAGUAUCAAAUAUGAAUGAAUGGUACUAAACGUCUAAACCAAUGACACAAGAGUGCAGCUAGCUACUGCUGGGAGUCUGCGACACGGGGGCACCAAAGCAAAGCGAAUUUACAACAGGUGAGGUGCGCGGGGGUGUUCAGGAGGGGAAACCCGAGCUGCGCAGCACGAUCUGGCCGUCCUCGUCCUUGUCGAACACCCGCUCGAUGAGGUCGUUCCAGCUCAUCCGCUGCCUGGCCCCCGCCGGCGGGAAGCUCUCGCUCCUCUCCGGCUGCUGCUGCUGCUGGCGCCUGUCAUCGCCGUCGUCAUCGUCGAACGUGCCGUACAGCGACGGCGCCCGCGCGUCCGGCACCGACAGCGUCACGGCCCGGCGCAGCGCGGCCCUGUGCUCCUCCACGUGCUCCCUCUGCAGGGUCUCGUUCCGCUCCAUCCGCUGCUCCGAUGGCACCGACAUCGUCUCCUCCUCCUCAAGCAUCAGCUGUACACCAGCAGCGGAACAAUGUUACUAGUAGCACGAAGAAAUCACAGAGGCAGCUAAGCGACCCCAACUUGUACCAACAAGUAAUCCUAUGUGGCUGUGUCUACCUUAAUGAUCAACAAUCUACAUUUUCAAAUCUGAAAAUGUUUCCUUAAGAAAAAACCAAAACAAUGGUGCAGCCGGAAUUGCAUCUCAAAAACGUGUAACUGAAUAUCUGAACAAGAUUCUUUUUUAUCACUACCUCAGUUCCUCACAAUUUGUCCUUGUAUUUUAACAUCUCAGUUUCUACAAUGCAAAUAUAAAAAAUCUGCCCCACAACAUGAGGGGUUACAUUCUAGUUAGCCUGCACAAUUUCAGAAAAGAAAAAAAAAACAGUGAUAUCCAAAGUCCAGUUUACCAAAGAUAAAGCUAUCCCUUCAAAAGAGCUUAUGAGAGAAGGUUACUCAGGCAAGAAUACAGUGGUAAAUAGAGACUAGAAAGUAAAGAUAGCUAGUAGCAUAAGCAACUCACAUCCAAAGCCUUCUGGGCUUCCCUCUCAAUCCAAAUAAUGGCAUGGUCUGCUGUGGCGUUGCAGGAAAGAACAAUGUGCUCAAAUCUACCAUCCACAGGCACAGCUGUUUUAACUACCGGUGGAUAUCUUCCGCACCUGUGUUAUUCAAGGAAUUCAAUUUGUUCAUGGAAAUAUUGGACACCUUCGUUAUCGACACAGUAAUCUGACCAAAGGACAUAAAACACAGAGCAAGAUCAAUAUCAAAUUGUAGAAGUAUCAGUAUGGGUUCACAGUCAGUGGUGAAUAUAAUACUAGUUGAACAAAAUACUGACUACAUGACUAGUUACAUACAAAGUGACACUUGAUGGUUCUCUUGAAAGAAUUGAGUUGAAUAUUCAAAAACUAUUAGCAUAACUUGUUCUCUAUUUCCAUCAGUUGUGAGGACCUCUCCUGCAGUUAACUGAUACUAUGCAACAAGGUUGUAUAUCAGGGGCCACAUGAGGAUUCUUGCAUUAUAGAACACCAAAUCAGGAAAGGGUACCUGCACAUUUUUCUUUCCACUAUGUGAUAUAUCCGGCCUGGUGCAUAAAGCCUCCUUGGAUCCUUUAGCAUUGCGUCUUCAGGUAUACAUGUAUCCCUCAAACAUCUCAAACAUAGGAGGCACGGCAAGCUGUUCAAGAAGAGAACACGGCUUAAUUUCAGACUCGCUUGAGCCCAGUAAGCAGUAAACAUACUGAUACAUAGCUACAAUAUAGCUAGCACAAACAUUAACUGAAAAAAAAUAUUAGAUAAACCACCACCAGGUACAAUAGAAUCCCAGUUAUCUGUCCACAGCUCAUAGGACUUACUUGCAAUGCAGUCAUGAUGUUCAUUAGACAUAACAAUGAUAUGAUUUAUCAUCAAACAGAAAUACAGGGGCCGUUCGGUUGUUUUGCUGCUUUGCCUGGCCUUGCCUUGCCAGGCGAGCGAAUUCUUGCCGGCGCAAGCGAGCUGGAUUGGCUCUCCCGCAUCGGCAAGGUGAAACCUUGCCAGCACAGACCCUGAGAUAAGCUAGCUGUUCUUCCAAACGCACAGCCCUCAUCCCUAUCCUUGCUUAGCAAGGCUAAAUAGUACCCGGCAAUGGUUCCAAACGGCCCCACGGUUUCUGUUUGACAAAUAGACUGGUUUGUGUAAAAAACAGAGUAACUGGGGUAAUGCAAGGGGAAAGUAUGAGCCAAUAAUGAAUCACAUUAUAGUUUGAGAAACAAAAACCUUUUUAAUACUAACCACCAAACAUGUAAAUCAUCAGUUCAUAAUCAAGAAAACAAGAGCACUAUAUUAGUGGCACGGCCGUACCAGAGGAUUGACUUGAAAAUGUCUUCCAAAGGAGUAGCAGUCCUGGGCAAGAAGUCGUCCUGCCAUUGGGAAAGAAAGAUGAAGAACGGUUGAAAGCAGUGGAGUGCAUAAUACGAAUUAAGCCUGAGUGACUGACCUGUAGGACGACGGAGUUGAUGACGUCGGCGUAUCUGACGGCGAGGUUGAGCGACAUGCACCUGGCCGGCGCCAUGGCGUAGCAGCGCGUGCGGCUCCUGUCGACGUUUCCGAGCUUGUCGAGGUUAAGCACGACGACCAUGGUGAGCAUGGCUGCGAUGCCGGCGCCGAGGGAAUGCCCCGUGAAGGUGAGCGUGUAGUCGGGGUACCUCUCGAGGAGUUCCCUGAGGAGGUCGCACUCGGCGUCGAGCACCCAUCCGGCGGCCCUGAGGAGGCCGUUGUGGACGUACCCGCCGUCGAAGCGGCGCUUGCCGAGUCGGUUGUCGAGGAGAAGCGCGUAGUCGGACUCCUUGACGAGGUUGAGGCCCCGGAGCGCGAGGACGAUGUCGGCGUGGGCGUGGUCGAGGUAGAGGAGGUAGGGUGUGACGCGGCCCUGGGUGUCGGCGUAGUUCCGGCGGCGGAGGACGCAGGCGGGGUCGAUGCCGUACCCCCCGGGGGGCGCGAAGAGGAGCGGCGCGGUGGCGGAGAGGUCGGGCUCGUAGUUGGCCAUGACGAGGCGGCACAUGCGGGGCACGGGCUCGAAGUCGGCGGCGGAGGCGAGGCCCCAGGUGGCGCUGUCGGACUCGCCGGUGUGGAGGCAGCGCUUCCAGGCCCAGCGCGCGCAGGCCAGGCAGUAGACGCACUCGAGCAGCGGCAGGCCGCAGGCCAGCGACAUGGCCGGCAGCCGCGCCGGGGCACGAGGCGGCUAUCAGUCAUCCAUCGGCCGCCGGCGGCGGUUGUCGUCGCUGGGAGGGAAUUGCGUCGAACAGGUGGUGCGCGGGCCCCGGAUUGAAUCCGGAAUCAGGAUUCGCGGGUGUUGCCAAGGGGCGGAGAGAUCCAAAUCCAACCAACUAACGAUCGGGUGGGAAAUUGUUUUUGACUUUGCGAGGCGCAUACCACUCGUGAUUUUCUUUUUUCCCUUUUCGUGAACCCACUGGUGAUCUGAUCUGCGGACGAGUGAUGACCAGCUGCGGAGGCAACUGGCGAUGUCAACCGCUGCUUCAGGAGGUUGACGACGAAUCGGAGUACUAAAAUCCGAUCGGAGUGACGAAGAGAGCUAACGAAUAACGAUCCAGGCUUCCAGGUCAUGCCAAGGGAACGGGUCCAGGCCUCCAGGGACCUCUGGUCUGGUCACUGGUGCCUUCUGGAUUCCUUGCAGAAUUGCAGUCCUUCCAUACAAGACAAAGGCAUGAUGAGUGCGUGGCAUUGCACGGCGCUUGGGCUGGACAUGUUCAGGGAAGCCAUUGAAGAUGGUAUAUCCUUCUUCAUCUUCCAACCGCGGCAGCAUAUACCUUUCUUCCGAAUAAUAAUAGCGCUAAUGAUGGCUAUAUUCAAUUCAAACGCAAGUCUAAGCUCGAGAUUCGAGAAUCAUAUCUGAUUUUGUGACAGGUAAGAGAAGUGGGAGACCAAACGUGUCAAAACACCAGGAUAGUACGCGACAAGAUUAGAAGUUUUGUGAUGAUGUACAAGUCUAAUCUACAGACAAAGUCCAACAAUCUACAAUCAACGGGAGCCCCGGGCAUGUCCAUUGUCCUGUACUACAAUUCACUGCGUGCCGUUCCAUUAGAUCCUACUACAAAAAGCAGGCUCCCGGAGAGCCCCACAAGGCCCACAAACAUCAGCUCCUCUCUGUCUAUCCGCUCAUCAAUUGCAGCAUAGCAGACCGCGUGUACCACGAGGCACGACCGCACGAGGAAAUGGAGCCACCCGUGUACGUCGGCCUCACAGCAAGUAGAACUGCGAAUAAAGAUGCUCCCUGAUCUUGUAAUAGUCCUCGCACAGGGGGCCCUCGAUCACGAUCUGCUGAGAACCCGUGCUGCCCUGCAACACACCACCACAACAAGCAUAGCUGUGUAAGCGUGUGCCAGCCGAGGUUCCACGGAACCAUGCUCUUGCAGCCUUGUUGCAAUAUUUCACAAGAAAUUCAAAGUGUCUGCUUUGCCAUGGGCAGUUUGUCCAUGAACAACUGCAGCAGGUCCAAGCUUGCUGAUUAAUAUAUGCGCGCCAUAAGGUAAGCAAUUGGUCCUAAAGGGAAGCUAUGGUACCUUCUGGGAGUCACCAAUCUUGCGCACCGUGAUGUGUUCGCCACACCGUAAUGCACCACCGGAAAAUUCAACCUGCAGCAACUGUUUCCUUAGCGACGAAUGUCAAUGGCUUCAGUAUACAUCAACAGAGAUUAGCUAGCCCUGCCCACUUAACAUUAGCCACCCAAAAAUCAUAUGUAGCGGCUUUCGUCAACCUAAUCUUGUAAUCGGCUGUAAGCAUCUAGAGGCUAUGCGUGUUCAAGGAAAAAAAAACAUGUAUGGGCUAUUAGGCUAUGUAAACUAAACAGCCUGUGCAGCUGACAACGUGCCAUCUAAUAUCCUGCAGGAUGCUAGAAAUAGAGAAAGUUGCCACUUGCCAGCUCCAGUUUUUUCUCAACAUACUAAUACCACAUACACAUUUGAUCCACUUGUGUUCAACUGAACCCUACUUAGUAAAUAAAAGUAAACUAAAAGUUUGGAUAAAUCAUAAAUGUCAUUUCAGGUACAGUGGAAGAUCGAAGAUUCAGGAAUGCAAUAAACCUACCUGCCAACCUUUAUUUUCCAGAAAUUGUUUAAAAUCAGACAACUUUAGAUCACCCACAAGAACUGGCUUGUGGGGUGGCGGUUUUGACGAUGGGGGAAGCAGAAUAAGCUUUUCAUCUUCUUUUCCAACUUCUGCAUCCACCCAAGCAAUUUCAUGCUCACCCAACUGCAGUCCAUGUUAGUGUUAGCGAUUUCGUAAUGAUGAUGAUCCAUAGUGAGGCAAGUGCAUAACAAAGAAAGGUAUUUAAAAAUUGAGGAUGAAAAACAUGGUUACUUGCCUAAAAAGGAAUCUAUAACUACCAAUUCAAACUAGGUGGGUUUACAGUGAAUGGACAACAUUUUGGCAUGCAAGGCCUUUGAAGUUGACUAAUAAAUUCAAGUAUUCAACUAUUUCAAUAUUAUUAACAGCUAGCAACUGAGCACGCAGUAAGCAACCAAUCACCCUAAAAUCAAAAGAUGCCACAUAAGGUCCGGAAGCAGCAACAUUUAGAUUUCAACACGUAAGGAGGUAAAACCCUUAAAGAACUUGCAAUUUUGCAAAGGACAUUUUUUUUUCUAUAACAAUUUCACAAGGGCUUAAGUUGGGGGCUAAACAAUACAAAGUGAGAACUUGGACCGUUAGAUUGUCAUAACAAAGUUCUCUUGAGUUUAUUAAGAGCAACAGAAAGGAUAAAAUAUAAAAAUUUAGGGAAAUAUAACUCUUACCUUUUUACAAAUAAUGUUACUCAUUAACUUCUCUGAAAGUUGUACCUGAGACAAGAUACCACAAACAUCACAAAGAUUGCAAAUGGAAGGUUGAGGGAAUAUGCAACAUAUAAAUUGUACUGUACAUGAUAUAGUUAUGUCACAAAUACACGCUCCUAGCUUUAUAAAUAAUGGCAUGUACACGAGGGUCUCACUGCCGCCCACAAAAGGAUCAUAAUUUUGCAUAAUAACUUAUAAAUUUGAAUGAUUGGUACAUGAAAGUGGUUUGGUUUUUCCUCUACUUGCUCCAGACAUCAGAUAAGAAGUAGCACAUUAAUUUUUAGGCUGCCUGACCUUCACAACCUCCUAAACCUUCCACUUAAUAUUUAAAAAGAGUUUGCAGUUAAAAUACGAACCUUAUAGGCACAUAAAUCCGAUGUUACAUCAAUUGUUUCCUCAAUCUGAGGAGCAUAAACAUGCAAGUCUAAAUUCUUUGCACAAUGCAUUUUCAAAUGUUCAGUAGCUUCCGCUGAUCCAUGCACCAAAACCUGCAAAAAGUCAUGCAUGCUUCAGCAUGAGGUAACAACUUUUUAUGCACAGGGCAACCACUUAGGCACUGAACACAAGCAUAACAAAAAAUUUCUAUGCACAGGGCAACCACUGACCACAAGCAUAACAAUUGCAGGUCACUCAAAUCUUGUUCUAACUAAUCAAACAAAGAAGCAACAGGCACUUGCGAUUUAAAUAAAGUUUUGCUGUUGGCAUGUCAACCCUAGAAAAAAUGCAUAGAAAUGACUUAAUAUACCUACCAUCUUUGGUGUCAGCUAUGAAGAUAAACUACACGUACUAUAUGUCCCAGAAAGGAGCAUGCUUUAGUUAAAUAUGUAAAAUCUAAACCAUGCAGGUAUAAAAAGGAAUAUCUAGAAUUGAAGUCACAUACAAGUUUCAGUGGAGCCACAUGAGCUAUAACUGACUUUACAGAACGCCCAUCAGAGCGACCUUCAAAGUCCAUAUAAACCAAUGAGCAUUUCACUUGAACCUGGAAAAAGAAUCAGUAUAGCUCACAUGUAAAUUCAAAUCUGGAUAUAUAUAUAUAUAUAUAUAUAUAUAUAUAUAUAUAUAUAUAUAUAUAUAUAUAUAUAUAUAUAUAUAUAUAUAUAUAGCUAGCUCUGCAAUUGACGCAGAGACUAAUGAAAGAAAACAAAUAGGAAAGAACUUACAGUCAUCUCAUUGGAAAUAACUUUUGAGGGCGUUGAAUCAAGAAGCAGGCGUGCUGAACCAUCGUCAAUUUUACCAUCUAAACCAUCUCCAGAACCCUGAAGAAUAAGAUAUGCACGUAAGAACCGAAUGAACAAUUGAGUUUCUUCUUAGUCCAAAUAUGGCAACAAGGGUUUCAUGUAUUUCCAGUUAUCGUUUAAAGCAUUUUUCAGCUUCAUGAAGGAAUGCACAAAGUUAAGUAACAAUGAACCGAACAAAGUUCAGCUUCAAAUAUAGCUAAUAUGCUCCAACAGAACCGCUGAAGUAUUCAGCAGAAGCAUAUGAGCCAGUCAUGCAACUUAAGUAACAAUGAACAAGAAUUAUAUGACAGCCAGUUCAUUUACAAAUGACCAACUGUCAAAAUUCAAGAGGCAUAGUGGGUGCGUAAGCAAACUUACAAGCAUCAGAGUACUAUCCAUUUCUUCUUGUUUCAUCGUAUAAUCAUCAGGAUUGAUGACCUCACCAAAGUCAUCCCAUUCGGCAGUAUUUUCAAAGAAGGGAAACAUUGGAGCAACACUGGUUGAAGGAGGGACAAAUCCAUCAAUGAAAAUAUCAUUGCUCCCACCAAAAUGUGAACCAGCUGGUAGUACCACAAAAUAAAGAAGGAUAGUCAACUAACAAAUCACCUAAUAUUAAAACCCUUAAAUCAUAAAACAAGUUUGAGGAAACUAAAUGGAAUAGCAGAUAUGUUCUUAUAAACAUCAUCGUCCUGGCUGCUAAAUACAGUCGAGAAUCAUGAAAGGGGAUAUUGAACUUGAUCAGGUCAAUGCUUAAAGGCAGAAAAAAUUAGAGCAGGGUCAAAGAAACAGCAAGUGUACUCUAGAUGUGUGGUAAGUUCUGACGGAGAUUGACCAGCAAAGUUCAUAAAAAUGUCUAGCCAUAGUAUACCCUUGGUGGAUUUACGAGAUGAGCUUGAAUCAAUGAGCAUUGGGUCUGAAGCCUUUGCAUUUGAUCCAUGGGAAGCCUUUAGUUCCUCUUCUUUGACAAGGCUAGCCUUGAUUGCUUCUUCCUUUUUGAUCCGUUCCUGUUCUUCUUCAUAAGCUUUUAGCUCAUCACCCACCAAAGGAAUUCGCUUGCUCAUAGUGACCUUUACAGCUUUAGGGGGUGGGUCCACUUGAAGCAUUCGAGCAAGUGUACCAAACUGGAGGGCAAAUAUUUUCUAGUCAGAUAAUUGUAGAAAGAUAGUACAUGCAUUAUGUUUGUAAGAGAAACAAACAUUAAGACUAAAAGACUGGUAGUUUAAUGAAAGUGAGGCUUCGUAAUCAUAUAUAUUUUGUUCACAAAUUAUAAAAGUUCUAUUUAGCAUCUAGUUCAUCUGCUCUUUACUUUAAGAGCAUAUUCAUCUUAAUAUCUGAAAUUUCAAAUAUGCGCGUGCAAACUGUCAGAAGCCAUAAUUUAGAAGCCUCAAUAGUUCUUGUGACAAGUCAUUUCGGAUUACUAGCUACUGAAAGCACAUGAAGAUUGAUGACAAGACUAACACAUCUGCAUAGAGUUAUAGAAUUAUAUGCCAUGCACAAUAAUGUACCUGUCCCUUCUCAGUAAAGAGCACUAGAUUCCUUGCUUCAUUCGCCAUCUCAACAAAUAUGUCAUGAGAAAAGCCAACCUCCAAACUUGCCAUGGACGCCAGAACCACCUGCUAAAUAACUGUUAACUUCAAGGUUCCAACAGUAUGGUGGAGAGCAGAGAAAUAUGUUACCCUAACCUUUGGAGUAUCUCCCAACUUUUCAAGAUCUUCUUUGUUAAUUAUCAGUGUGACCUUUCUGCAACACAGAAAAAUCGACUAUUGUUAAUGAUAGAAUCAGAUGGACUUCGGUAGUUCAAUUUAUUUUUUGAAAAACUGUUCACUUGAUACAAAUAUCCAAAAUUAGUGUAACAUUGAUUAAAAGAGAUACGUAAGUAUGGCUCAAAUGAUAGAAUUCUAAUAACAGAACAACUCAGACGAGAUAUAGUAUAACUAUGACUACAUAAGAUGCAAUAAGAGAGUAUUAUUCUUCGAACUUAAAUAGUGAACAUAGAGCAAAAAGAACCAAACAAAGUUUUGCCCUAAAAAAAAACCAAACAAAGUUUUAGUUAGAACUUAUAGCUGUUUGAGGUCAUACUUUAAUAAGAAGGCAUUAGCUCUACUGCUUUCAAAAGAUUUUGCAAUAUGAUCACCCAUCCAUUCAAGAAAACUCUUGACAUAGUCGACUGUACUUGUAGAAACAUUUGUCAGAAAGUAGAUAGGGUACUCCAAACGCCGGUCACCCCAAUACUGCAACAUAUCAACAUAAAAAGUUAGCACAUUAUUGAAAUAACAGGAAUACAGAGUCUCGUGGUAGUAUCAGAGAUUUCACCUUAUCCAAUAUCAAAAGAAGUUCCAACACUCUACCAGCAGUAUCAACAGGAAGUAACACACUUCCACCACUUCCUAGAACUUUAACUAAUGAAUCUGCAUGAAACAUGAUGGCAUUAAACAACACUGGCUAGGAUGCAUCACAUAUAUAAAAAGGAAAGUGUGGUAAACAUAUCAUUUUGGAACUAUAAAUUUAACCAUGAAACUUCAUGACAAGACAAAAUGGUACUCCCUCCGUUCCAAAUUAUAAGUCAUUCCAACUUUCUUGGAGAGUCAAACCAUUUUAUGUUUGACCAAAAUUAUAGAGAAGAUCACAAAAGUUUAUGGCACCGAAUAGAUAUACUAUGAAAAUAUAUUUAAUGAAGAAACUAAUGGUACCUAUUUGGUAUCAUGAAUGUUAGUACUUUAUUGUAUAAAUUUGGUCAAACUUGAGAUGUUUUGACUCUCCAAAGAAAGUUGGAAUGACUUAUAAUUUGGAACGGAGGGAAUAGAAGCUAGCACUUAGGAAUACUAUUAAAACUGCAAAAUCUAAAGAAACCAAAUAAUAAAAGCAUGCCCAGCGCUGAGUGAUGUACCAAUGAAAUCUUGAUCCUGUUUCUUUCUGUAGCCUUGAUUGUUCAAAGCGUUGUAAGCAUCAGUUAUCAGAACAGCUGGCCGCACAAAAGAUCCAAGAACAGUACCAUUCAAAUGCCUGGAAAUACGAUAAUUUUAGUAGUUUAUGCAAAAGAGAACACUAAAUCUGUUCUGGAAAAACACAGAGGAUCUAACAUCUCUUUCCGAUGGUUGAAGUCAACAGCGUACACAACAUCCUCUCCAUCUUUUGUUAUCUUCCACACUGUGCCCCCCAAAAGAUGCCCAGCCACAUGGGGAGCAAUAACAAUUCCUUCACCUUUAUCUGUCAAGAGAUACAGUAUGAGCAAAUGUAGUGGAGCAUGCUAAAACGAUGUAACAGCAUGAUCUUACUGACCAUUCAGAAGGUAAUUUUGUGAGUAUUUCAAUCUCACAAUGUUUUGGAAUGCAGCAUCAACAUCAUCCAAAGUAAACAAGUCAAAGUCUGAGACUUGCUGCAAAAGAAGGUAAGGGUCUACUGUGAACAGAUAUAGACUACAGAGUCCAGUUUUCUCGAACAAAUUGGGAGAGAGGGAGGGAGACUGUGUGGUAAUGCAAAUGAGUGUGAUUGAAAAGUGUACCCCUUAUGGAAAUAUUGGGCACCAAGAAGCUUACCCAUCGAGAUAGAAAAUGGUCGUACAUGGUCAAAAGGCCAAGUCUAAACACAGGUUCUGUUGCAUAAACUGGUGCAGAGAGUCCAAGAUGUUUCAUAGCAUAAGGCAAAGCUCCUAGAUGCAUCAUGUCAGGAUGUGACAAAAGAACAGCAUCUAUAGUUGGUGCAACCCUGAAACAUAUAGAGUGCUCUUAUGAGUGCAAGUGAAAAGUACCAAACAAUUUGCUUCGACCAUAAUAGCAUAUUGACAGCAAUGGCAUCUAUGCAUUCUGCAAUGAUGGAAAGUAUCUCCUUUACUCAACGAGUGAGGAUUUUGGAAAGAAAUAUGUAGGAGUGCAUCCUUGCAUCUGUAAGAUGUGUAAAGGUAGUAUAACAAAUGGCAGGAAAAUGAACUGUCAACGUUCAGCACAUAAGUCACUGGAGAGGCUAUGCUCAAGGUGGCCAAAGUUGCAGUCAUGUUUUUACAUGCAUCCUUGUUACAAGAAACAAUAGGCAGAGACCACACAUUUACACCAAUUACACUAGACUACACGUUAGGCAUUAAAUCUACAUAAAUAACAGGCCACUAAGCAACAGACACACAUCCAAGCUCAUUCGUGAGCAUAAAUGUUAGUAUGGGCUCACAAGCAUUCGCCCUCCAGCACAUAAGCACGAAAGCACAAACUCGGCAGUCAAUUUUCCAAACAAGCUGGAAAUCACACUGGUUGUAGCACACAAAUUACAAAACCCUAGGACUUGCCAAACCGCGAGCGAGCCUCCAUCCUAGAAACGCAGAGGCACCAAUCAUCAGCCAGAAUUUACACUACUCCCCCGAUUUGUGCAAUUAAACCAAUACGUGGUUCGCAUUUCAUCAGGUCCCGACCCUAUCUGAGCUGAGCGCAGCGCCAGCCGAACUCCAGUCUCACUCUCGGAGACAAUUCGUCGAACAGGUGUACUAAUGUGGCGUCGGGAGCGUGAACCACUCCCUCACGAGGCCAUUGAAUCGACGACAAGCUAAGUUCACAAGGGUAAGGAGAGGCAUACUUGGCGAGGGCUUGGAGUUGGGAGGUGUCGCAGAGGUCGGUCCAUCCGCAGUCGAGGAGGAAGCGGAAGCCGUCGACGGCGAGCAGGUAGCACAGGGGCCCCUCCCCGUACGCCCCGCUGAGAGGCGUCACCUGCACCGACGUCCCCAUCUGAUCUGAUGUCCCCUCCGGCGGCGCCGGUGGCUCGACGGCGAGCGGAGGCGGAGGAUUCGGCCUUGGUGGGGUUGGAGGAGUGUUCAGAGUCGGAAGCAGCGAACCUUUGCUAAACCCGCGCCAGGUUCACUUCAGGGUAACUGGUCUGGGCCGUGUUGGGCCGAAAAAAUCAGGCCCGUAUGGCCCUCGAAUCCUUUUGUGUCCACGUGUUCCCCAGCUCCGGUGCGGUGAGCCCUUCCCUCGCCGCCGGCGACCCCGAAACAAUUGACGCGCAGUGAGAAGACGGCCACCCAAUCCGCAAGGAAGCGAAGCUCCUCUGCUCCGGUCGGGUCAGGUCCCUUUUCUGGUUGGGUUCUCCGGUCGGGUCAGGUCCCUUUUCUGGUUGGGUUGAGAUUCUCGUUUGGUGUCUCUGGUUGGAUGGAUCUAGGCAAAACCCUAACUCGCGCAAUAUCUCUACGCAGUUGCUUCCGAUGGACGGCGCCGCCGCUGCUGCAGGAGGUAGUGGGGAGCCGGCGGCCAACGGGUCCAAAUCUGAGGGGCAGCAGUUCGAUCCCAGCCGGAGUAAGCCGGAGCUCCCGUCUCAACUGGCUUCAAUUCGUUUCUGUAGAUUCUUCUGUAUUUCUAGUUCGUGCUGUAGGUUUGUUUCUGCUUUGUCCGUAGGAAAUCAAUCACAACCUCUCUCGCCAUGGUAAUGGAAUAUUGAAUUAUUACUAGCUUGCUUUUAUGUUGGUUAUUUGCAGACAUAUUUAUUCCCUGAAUUAUUGGCCUUACAAAAAUUGUUUUUGGUUGUGGGGUCAUGUUCAAAAAAAAAUUCAAAUGUUUUUUGCUAGAUUACUUUAUGGUACUAUAAAGUGUAAGGACAGUAUCUCUAGAAUGUGGUUAAACUGAAUGUUCAGUUGUAUUCUUUGGCAUUAUCUCAAAAAAGAUGAUCCACCAAAUCUUUGAGUUUUUCAAAUGAGUUGCAUACUUCAUUAAUCUUGGGGGUGGUCUGACACCUAAUUUCUUGAUGUUUUAAGUGAUUGGGAUAAUCAAAAGGAAGGCCUUGAUUAAGGAUUUGGCUGCUGCGUACCAUGCUGAGUGUAUAGCAUCCUGUAAAGAACUCUUGCAGCUUCAGAGAAAGUGGGAGGAGGUCAGUAUCCAUCUUCCAAAAUCUCACCUGUGGAGCUCCCUCUGUUCCUCCGUAUUGCAUAGCACUGUAAUUCAGGGUCCCUUUCUUGUUUAUUUGCAAAAAAUAUUUGUUAAUUCCCUUGGGAGUUUAGUUAUUUUGAAUUCAAAUUAUGGUUGACUAAACUGAUUGAAGUCAAGUCAUUGAGUUGUGAAAUGAACAUUCAUAUUGUUCUUCAGAGACAGUAGCACAUAGGCCUGGACUUUUGAAUAGCAAGAAGAAUUCCCUAAUGUGAUUGAAUUGCAGCAAUCAGUGGUGCAUCUAUAUCAUUGUGCAAUGUGUCAAAAGAAUAUGUGCUGGACCCUUCUUUACUUUUAAGGAAUCCAUUUUAUCAACUCAUACUUGUUAGCUAGUUUUUCAAUUUCUAACUUUUUUUUGAGCUUUGGGAUCAUGUGUUGAAUUGUAUGAGUUGUUGAGAAAUAUGCUAAUUCUAGCAUUGUGGAAUUAUAUGUAUGCUUUACAGCAGUGAAAAGUGUCCCAGACUCUUUACUAUUACAUCAACACAUACUUUAAGUUAGUUUUUCAAUUUAUAGUUUUUUUUGAGCUUCGGGAUCAUGACUUCUCUUGUUCCUGUUUUUGAGAAAGAUGAUAAUUCUAGCACCCUAGAAUUAUAUAUAUUGCUUUACAGUAGUGAAAUUUUGCUUUUGCCAGGUAGUCCUGCAGCACCUUUUUUUUUGUGUGCAACGAGUCUCAAAAUGUUAAUAUUGAUUCACAGGAACAGUAUGUGGAAGUCAAAAUGCCUGAAGAACCAAGACUGAUGACAAUGAAGACCUCAAAGCGUAGGAAGAAGUAGAUUUAGGAGAUUAAGAGCACUUUCAGCUCUGUCAACUGCUGUGGUAGUUAGCUUGACAGUGAACUAAAUACAAGGAAACAUUGCCCUCAGGUGGGCUUAUGCUCUAAAGUAUCAUUUGCCUGCUUCCCAUUGCUCUUUUAACUACUCCCUUCGUUUCAAAUUGUAGGUUGUUUUAGCUUUUCUAGACACAUGAUUUUUGCUAUGCACAUAGAUAUACAUUAUGUCUACAUACAUAGUAAAAUCUAUGUAUCUAGAAAAAUCAAAACGACCUACAAUUUGGAAUGGAAGAAGUAGAUUUUUUUUUGUUCUUUAAAGAUAAGGCUCACAAAGAAAUACUAACACCUCGGGUCUUUUUGCAGUUGCGUCCAACAAAGAAGGCAUUUAUGUAUCUCACUGAUUUUCAUUCCAAUCAUCACAAUGUUUUGUUCUUCAAAGAUGAGGCGUACAAAGAAAUAACACUUGAUUUUUUUGUAGUUUGAUUCACCGAAGGCAUUUAGUUGUCUCGCUGAUUUAGGUCUAAUCAUUACAAUGAUUGCAGCUGUCAGGAUAUUUGAUCUAACUGAUGCAAUGUUAUAUUCAUAUGUUCCAACAUGCUUUCACCUUGAAUUGAAUGAAAUAUCAUGUUUUAACGCAAGUAACAGAGAUGAGGUUGAAGCAACCCCAUUGUACGGUUUUGCAGUGCCCGUUGCACAGGGCAAAGCAUUGUAUGUCCUAGAUGAUUACAUGUGUAAAGGCUAGUAGGUGGUGCAGUGUCCUUCCACGCCUCCUUUGCUAGGUUGUGAGCAAUUCUGUUGACUGCUCUGUAGAUCUUUCUGCAAUCAAAAGUUUUGUUUCUGUUGACAAAGUCUGCGUUUCAUAACUAGACAACACCAAUUUUGAAAGCAUAAAGUGGUAUAAUAUGCAUGCACCCAAAAGAAAAUCAGCAUCCGCAGCAUUUUGACAUGCAUUUCCACUCACCUUGGUCUUUUUCUCUCUUUCCUCAGCUUAUUGAUUUUCUCUUGUGGUGGUUCCUCGUCUUGGUGAUCGCUAAGUUCUGUUCGAUAACAACAAUUUAAACACUAACCAAAUUUGCAAGAGAAACAUGAAUGGACCACUGAUGGAUGUUUAUUUGAAGUAUAUACCUUAUUCAUGGAUCGCAAUGCAGGUUUGAGGUACAUGCUUUGCCAUUUGACCAAACGAAGAUUCAAUAUGGGGCAUCUGUUCAUUUGGCUUUCAGUUUUCUUCCUCCUCUUCUUGGUCUUUACUGAAUCUUUAAUCUUGUUCUGAUCUUGAUGAUUCAAUCGCUCUAAAGCAGGGCACCUCGUGAUACUGCAAUAUAAUAUUAUAUUAGUAACACAAUAUUAUAUCACAAUGCAUCUCAUCAAGAAGUAACGGCCUAAAUUAAAUUCUAUCACAUAAUAUAUAUGAUAAUCUAACAAUAUCUGUGCCACAUCAACAGGAUGGCUGCACUGUCUACCUUGAAGCAGCAGUAAUGCCAUUCCCACUACCACCAUUGUCAGCUUCACUAGCCGAUACUCCAUUGUCAUCAGACUUCACAGCAGAAGCAAAUGAAGAAAAGGAAGACUCUUCCAGCAUGGUGACCACAAAAUUCAAGGUCCUGCGCCGGAUCAUCUGGUACUGUAUGAAGACUUCAUCCAUCUUUGUUGAACAGAUUCAGAUACGAUAAACAACAAGGAUCGUUCGUAGGAGGUUUUGGUUUAAGGCAGCGCCGCUUGUGUGAUCGGGAGCAAAUUAAACAAACAGAAGGGUCACGUCAGUGUGAGUACAGUAUGCACACGACGGAAAAAAUGGACCAGUCUCUGGAUCAAAUCUGAAUCUAUCUGAUGGCAAUGCAAGAACCAUCCGCCAAGUCGCAAAAUACUUACCUGGGUACUUGACGAGGCGAAAUGGCGGUAUGGUCUUCUCACUGUCCACCGUCGCAUCCACGAAGCAUAAACCUCCCUGUCGCCGUCAGUUAGGAGGAAGGCGCGAACGGAGGCGCUGUUGGCCUCCCAGUAGCCUUCCGAGUGCUCCACGGAAGACUGGCUCCCGAAGGAGAGGUGGUCCUCCAUCAACUGCCCCCCGGCCGAGCCCGACCACGAGCUUGCGUCGUCGUCGUCGCCGACGUCCGCCCCCCUCGUCUUGCUCUCCGACUUGGACAUUGCGUCGCCAAUCGACACCACCCCGACCUCAUCUGAUCUACGGUUUCCUAUGGACGACCUGAGCGGGAGAUUUAAAGUUGGACACGUACUCCCUCCAUCCUAAAUUAUUUUUAAGCUUUUCUAGAUACAUCAUUUUUGCUACGUAUCUAGACAUACCUGUAUACAUAGGUGCAUGUCAAAAGUUAUGUAUUAGAAAAAACAAAACGAAUAGUAAUUUGGGAUAGAGGGAGUAAUUCACAAGCUUCACAACAUUAAAAACUAAUUCGCAAUUAUUUAUGAAUCUUUUUUUUUUUGAAAUAUGGUGUAGAUGCAGACGCUUGUAUAAACGCACGCACACUCAUCCCUAUGAAUACACACGCAACCUAACCUCUAUGAUCGAGCACCUCGAGACUAAAGGUAGGUACAUUGCUACACCUGCACGUAACCAGUCUCAUGCAAUGCCACAUAGGACUUUUGGUGAUGUGGAGGAGGGAGAGCGAGGUGAGAGAAAGUGAUCGUUAUUUCGCAAAACAACCAUCUCAUAAAGCUAAAUUUUAGGACUAUGAGAUAACUCCAUAAUCAUUGUAAGAGUUAUUGUUGCCAUACAACUAACAAAUUUCAUUUUUUAUAUGUACAAAUUAAGAAAUAUAUUGUUGCCCACUACUUAUCACCAAUCAUGCCACCCCGCGACGCCCAACUACCUUCAAAUUCGAAAACUUCUGGGUACGGUUGCCAAACUUCCAACAGAUCGUCUCCACGGCUUGGAACAGACCGACUCACCACACGGAGCCUUUUCACAGACUGGGCCAUAAGCUUUACGUGACCUCGCAGGCGCUUAGACGCUAGAGUGAAUCCAUGCUCUCGGACAUGAAAAUGAAGAUGUACAUGGCUCGAGAACUCAUUCUACUCCUUGAUGAGGCACAAGAUAACCGUGCCCUUUCUGCGGAAGAAACGAUUCUAAGAAACAAACUCAAAAAGCGACUCAUGGGAUCGGCAGUCAUCGAACGAGCUAGGAAAAAACAAUGCGCCAGGGUCACAUAUCUUAAAGAAGGGGAUGCUAACACAAGAUUUUUUCACCUGAAGGCCAAUGGUCGAAAGAGAAAAAAACUUCAUUCAAAAACUGCGUAGCGACAAUGGCUGGGCUUUCACCCAUCACGACAAACAACACAUAGUACAAGAUCACUUCAAAAAUAUUAUGCGAGAGCCGCCACACAGAACGCUUGACUUAAACUGGUCGGCCCUAAUCUUCCCGUCUGUUGAUCUGUCUUCGCUCGAUAACCCAUUCACCGAAGAUGAAAUCCGACGGGCCAUCUCACUGAUGCCAAAAAACAAGGCGCCCAGCCCAGACGGUUUUACAGGUCUCUUCUUUACAACCUGCCGGGAGACAAUCAAAGGAGACCUCAUGGCGGCAAUAGUGUCUUUCUUCAACUCUCGCUGCGCAGACCUUAACCUGCUUAACAAAGCAACUAUAAUCCUAAUACCCAAAAAGGAUGGGGCAGAGAACAUAGCUGAUUACAGACCCAUCAGCCUGAUCCACGCAAUUGCGAAGAUUAUCACUAAGACCUUAGCCCUACGUCUAACCCCCUUCAUGAACCAGUUGACCUCACCGGGCCAAAGCGCUUUUAUCAAAGGACGAAGCAUCCAUGAUAACUUCCUCUACGUCCAGAACCUGGCACGUCGAUUCCAUAGACACAGCCAGCCAACACUGCUUAUGAAGCUGGAUAUCUCCAAGGCCUUUGACUCCGUACGAUGGGACUACCUCCUCUCCAUGAUGCAACGCAGAGGUUUCCCACCAAAAUGGAGGGGCUGGAUUGCAGCUAUCCUGUCCACAUCAACAUCGCGAAUUUCACUAAACGGCCUACCCCUAGAACACAUACAGCAUGGAAGAGGACUACGCCAAGGGGACCCGCUCUCACCACUCCUUUUCAUCCUAGCAAUAGACCCACUACAAUAUCUGCUGUCGGCCGCCACGGAAAAGAGACUGCUCCAAAAACUAAAUAACAGAGCGGCAAAAAUGAGAACAUCAAUUUACGCCGACGACGCGGUGAUUUUCAUCAAACCUACCACAAGGGACGUCACAAACCUGAAGAACCUCCUGCAAAAUUUCGGAGAAGCGACCGGCCUCAAGACGAACAUCCAAAAAACUAGUGUUACAACAAUAAGCUGCUCCCACAUUAAUAUCCCAGAAGUGCUCUGCAAUCUACCAGUGACACAAAAGAAUUUCCCGAUAAAAUACCUGGGCCUCCCUCUAACGGUUCAACGGCUUCGUCGAAUAGACUUCCAACCUCUAAUCGACAAAAUGGCGAGCAAGCUGUCCAAAUGGAAGGGAAGAAACCUUACACAGGCCGGCCGGUUAUGCCUCACCAAAUUCGUCCUAUCCUCACAGCCGAUAUACACCCUCACGGCUCUCAGAACCCCCAAAGAAGUGCUAGAGGAAAUCGACAAAAUCAGGAAACAUUUUCUAUGGGCGGGAGACAACGAACUCACCGGGGGAAAAUGCAAGAUCAACUGGAUAAGGACAACUUUACCGAAAGAGAAUGGCGGCGUGGGCAUCCUCGACCUCCACAAAUUUGCACGAGCACUCCGCCUCAGAUGGCUCUGGCAGGAAUGGGUUUCCCCGGACAAGACAUGGGUCGGAACCGCAACUCCAUGUGACGACCGGGACAGACUGCUGUUCGCUGCAUGCACGACGAUACAACUCGGCAAUGGAGACAAGACCCUUUUCUGGCAAGAUGCGUGGGUUACAGGCCGAAGACCGAAAGACAUUGCUCCACAACUCUACGCAAAAACCAAAGGAAAGAAGAAGUCAGUGCGAGCGGCCCUCGACAACAAUAACUGGAUCAGAGAUCUUCAGCUCACAUCAGGCCUUACAAACACACUUUUGAACGAAUUCAUAGCUCUCUGGCCCCUAAUUCAACAAUCCAAUUUAAACCCGACCCAGGAGGACGCCAUUACAUGGAAAUUCACACUAAGCGGGCAGUACACCGCUGCGUCUGCAUAUAAGGCCCAACUCCUUGGCAACAUGAAGACGCCCGACCUAGCAACAGUGUGGCAAACCUGGGCACCAGCAAAAUGCAAGAUUUUCGCAUGGCUAAUUCUCCAAAAUAGGGUCUGGACUUCGGACAGGCUAGCGAAACGGGGUUGGGACCACACCCCAACAUGCACACUGUGCAGAUGCACGAUGGAGACUGCCCACCAUCUCUUAGCUGACUGCAGAUACACAAAGCAGACUUGGAACCUAGUAGCACAAUGGCUGUCCCAAGAGAAUCUGAAACCAAACCAAUGGAAACACAGCACAACGGCCAUCGAGUGGUGGACAAACAUCACAUCAACGACAGGAGUUCCGCGACAAGCGUCCCGAAGCCUCACUCUCCUUAUUAUGUGGGAAAUAUGGAACGAAAGAAACUCGCGCAUCUUCCGCCAUCAGGGUUCCCCGACGACAUCGCUAUUUGCAAAAAUCAAACUCUCUGCCAACAUGUGGAUAACAGCAGGGGCGAAAAUCUUAGCGGCGAUCCCGCCAUAGAUGUCUCACAGGGGGGGACCUCUCUGUCUUUUCCUGUAUCCUUUUCUCUAACCGGCUAGCCGGCUGUAACCCAUCUCUAUCAAUGAAAUAGGCAUAAUCUCGUGCCUUUUCCUUUCAAAAGAAAUAUAUAAUCCUAUCAGAUAACUUAUAAAACAACAUGUACUUGUUGUCCGUUAAGCCAUCUCAAAAUUAUGUGCCGGUCACCGCUAGCGUGUCGCUGUCGAGGGCCAUGUCACAUACUAGUAUACCACUGAAAAAUAGCGUGAACUAAAUCUUGGAAUAAUUUAGAAAAAUACAAACACUCGUGCCAAGUCAAGGUGGCCAUGUUCCAUCAUAAAGAAUAUACGCUCUCUUCGCAUUUAUGAAUUCUUUAGUUAUCCGCUGCUCGGAGGAUUAUACCAGGCAACACCCAUCGGCCCUUCUCUUGUAUUACUAAAAUGGGUCUUGCUAAGGUACUCCCAGAUAAACAUGGAUCUAUCCUUAAAAAUAAACAUGGACAGUAGAUCUAAAGACAUAUUACCGGUAAUAGAUUAAAUAUUUAUUAUAUAUGCAUAGGGGCAAAUAUAUUCCUAUUAGAUGUAACUUCCAUGUAUUAUUGUAUUGGAUCUAGUGAUUCCUUUUUCCCCCUCACGUGAACAUGGCCCGCAACAAAUCUAGAAAUUUCGAAAUUUCGUAUUCCUUGGUCCUCACGAGAGACAUCUUAGGGAUUAUUUUUGUUCACGUUAUAAUUUGGGAAAAGCUAUAGCUCAUCCAGGUGGAAUAGAGCUCUCCCUCACCCAAAUUUUUCUCCCUCUCCAUCUGCACACCAUUUCCCCUUUAUUCUCCAACUCCGGCGAGCUUAGGAGCACGGGGCUAGGGGUUAGGGGUUUCCAGGGUGGGUGCUCACCGACGAUCCUAGAGGGAAGGCCGGCAGCGGUAGGCCAGCCCAGCGGAGGUGGCGGGCGCAGGGGUGGUGAGGCGCAGCGGCGGGGGCGCCGCCGGUUGGGCAAUGGUGGAGGGCGGUUGGACGGUGCCAGGGCGGGGGCGACGUAGCCGAUGGCGGCGGGGGCAGGGGCGGUGGCGGGAUGGGCAAGAAGGCGGCAGAGACGACAGUGGUGUCUACUAAGAGGGCGGUGGCGUUGGCAGGGGCGGAGGGACGGAGGAGGGAGGGGCGGUAGUGGGAGGGCGGGCCUCGCUAGCGCCAGGGAUGGUGUCGAUGAGGCAGCAGGCUGUGUCGGGUGGAGAUAGGAGGCAGUGGGCGGCGCCGGGUGGAUAAGGUGGAGGAGGCCGGUUUGAUCUCGGCCGUUGAUUUCAGAUCGUAUGUUCAAAAAAUUGAGUGAGGGAAGAGUUAUUUUCACUCGGGUGAGACAUAGACAGCCUAAUAAUUUUGCAGACUAUAGGUGCCAUGUAAUAUAACAUAUGGAUGUGUAACGUCGUUCUAAAUUUCAACAUGAAAACUGUGGAAUUUGUUUUAACUUCAAAUGUGUAUGGAAUUUCAAUAAUUAUUAACAGCCGGUGUAAUUGUGUUACUAGCAAAUACGUCAUAGCUUUGUACAAAUUUUGUGUAACCGCACACAUGAUUUUGUGCACCAAACACCAAACACGUAGAUGAAAAGUUUAUGGCGGCAGGCAUGCAUGCAUGCAUGUGUAUGGCCGGGAGGAGAUAAUGCUCAGAUAUAUUAACGGCUUGUGUAUGACUGGACUAAAUAAAGGAGAUAAUGGCGCAGAUAUAUUAACGGCAUGCAUGCAUGUGUAUGACCAGGACUUGAGGAGAUAAUGGCGCUGCGAUUUUUUUCUUUAUUUUCUAAUUGAUUUAAUUCACAUCUUACCUCCUUAGAGGUAAAAGGAGUAUCGUAGCAUUGCUUUACUAAAAUUUUAUAGUUGGGUUUAGCACAUAGGUAAUCAAUCCAUUUAAAUAAUCUUUUUUUCCAUGAACUUGGGUAAUUUGUUUUAGGUAUAUAAAAUUCUGUGCCACUUGAACAAUUUUUUUUGAACAACUUUAUCAUAAGUUGAAAUAGUUUUCUCCUUAACCUUGAAAAUUUGUUCCAAUGUCAUCAAAAAAGUAUUUCACAUUCAUAAAAAAUGUUUUGAAGAAUAUAUCAUCCUAACAUAAUUUAAUUUGGACUUCCAGUUUGGAAUACAAGCUAAUGAUAUCACAAAAAUUUGUUUUUCCUUGCACGCAAGAGGGAAAGAGAGUGAUCUAGAGGAGGGGUGGGUACUAUGCCUGCUAUAGUGCUAUAAAUCGUUUUUUCACUAAAAAGAAGUUAGGUAUUACCAUGAACACCUAGGAAUUAGGGGGCAACCCCUCCUGAUUCCUCCCCACCAUCAACUUGGCCGCAGCGAUGUCCUUUCUUGUGCCGACGGCACAGCUAGUUGACGACCCGAGUCCCUAGUGGUUCCCCUCACCAUCAUCACUGUCGUGGGCCAAGCAGUAGCAGCAGCGCCGUGAUGGUGCUUGCGGUGGCUCCAGUGGUGACGAGAUCUCGGCUGGGAGACCACUAUCGGGGAAAGAACCUUUCAUCCCGCACCUUAGUACCGGUUGGUUUUUGACCCGGUACUAAUGCUCACAUUAGUACCAAGUCUAACACGGAGCCUCCCUGGACCCCUUUAGUACCAGGUCGGAAGUCAAUCCGGUACUAAAGGCCACCCUUUAGUAUCGGGUAGAGGCUCUUCCCACCCGGUACUAAAGAGCUUUUCCGUCACUCCCCCGACCCAUUGGCCUGCUCCCCUCUCUCCUUAUCCGCUCCCCCUCCCUCCCUCCCUCUCUCACUCCUUAUCCGCCUGGCACCGGUCUCCCUCCUCCCUCCCUCCUUCUCUCACUCCGCUCCCCUCCCCUUCCUCCACUUACCCCCUCCUCCGCUCACUCCGCUCCCCUCCCCUUCCUCCACUUACCCCCUCCUCCGCUCACUCCGCUCCCCUCCCCCCUCCUCCGCUCGCCCCAAUCCCCUCCCCUUUCCGCUUGCCCCUCACCGGCAGUGAGGAGCAGCGGCGAGGCGAGGUGAGACAGCGGCGCGGAUCUAUGGGAGGGUGGCGGGAGCAGCGGGAUGGCGGCAGCAGUGGGAGGGCGGGGGCGAUAGUGUCGAGCGGGCGGGUGGAUGCGGUGGCGGCGCUCGAGCCCCCCUCACUCUCUCUCUCUCUCUCUCUCUCUCUCUCUCUCUCUCUCUCGCUCUAUCUAUCUAUCUAUCUAUCUAUCUAUCUAUCUAUCUAGGAUGCGGUGGCGGAAGGCGUGGCGGGCAGCAGCAGGAGAGCGCGGUGGGAGGACGGCGGCGAGAGGCCUCGAUCUCGGGCAGCGGCGGGGGGCUCGAGCGAGGGGGGGGUGCGGUUCGGGCUCGGGCUCGGGCCGGCGGGGUGGGAUUUCUUUUUUUAUUUCUUAUACCUCUUUUCAACCGGUACUAAAGGGGCCUCCUUAUUUCUGGAGUAGCAAUACCGGUUGUGAAACCGGUACUAAAGGGGGUUCCCAACUGGUACAGAAGGCCAUUUCCCCAGUAGUGGACUGACGACUGCCACCCUUGUGCAGCCCUCGUGAUCGCCAUCCCAGAGCAAGAGCAGCAUGGCGAGCGCGAUGAUAGGAGCCUUCAGGAAGGUUAGGAGAUAAAAUAGGAGAAGGGAGGGAGGUGAAACGACUCAUCAACUUGGACCACCAAGGCUUGUGCGAACAUGCAUUAGUGGCAAGCUCACUGCAUUCCCAUGAAGCCAGGCAACAGCCCUCAUUUGCACUAUCAGGGCCAUGCUUAGGGCAAUCCUAACCCUCACCUCAUCUAGUGCCCAUAGAAUUAAUUAGUGUGCCACGUAAGUAAAAAUAUGAUGUGGCAAGAAAAUUAAUGAGGAGAGAGAGAGGAAAAGUUGAAGACCUGAACGGUGUCGACACAUGCAUCAAGGAGAGAGGAAACAUCGAUCUUGCGAUCAGGGCGAGGGGAGUUUCUUUUCCAUGCAUUUUGUGGGCCCCAUCGCUUGGAAAAGGGUAGCCCUGCCGUUGUCUGCGCCGGAGGGCUCACCGCCGAUGCUUGUGACCCCAUUGCCACCGCCCGUGGCCCUGAGGUACAUCGUGACGCCUGCGAACACCUGCUCGGGAGGGACCCAUUGCGGCUGGUGUAGGUAGGGUUGCUCUAGGUCGGCAGGCCACCGACAGCAUCCUGAAACGUCAUAGAGAAGAAGAAAGAACAACACGUAUGAGAUUGGAAAAUCUAGGUCAAAGGAGAAAUAGUAAAAAAGAUAAAAGUUGUAGAUUUGUUUGUGUUUGAUCGAUUGGACACCCUAAAUCGGCUGUGGCUCUUUAUAUUUAUAGGGUGAAGAGGUCGUACCCGCUUGAAGAUUGUUUACAAAUCAAAUCCCAUACAAAUCUCCAAUUCCUACCUGGUUUACGUAAAAACCGGUUUAGUCUAUUUCCAAAAUCGGCUUAGCUGAUUUCCCACUGAGGCAAUCUUUCCAGGGUCUUAUCUCCCUCAUCUGAACUUUAAAUUGCACGUUCUACAUAUGCAUUCAGAUCGCCUCGACGAGAUCUAUACAAUGGUGGAGUCCAAUUUAGUGUUUAGCAAUAUUACCAAAAACCAGUCAAGCCAGUUUGGGAAACUAGGCCGGUUUCCCAGGUAGCUCCGGCAAACCUUCACCACUGAAGAAUUGACAUUCCAUCCAGCCCCUUUAAUUCUGGUUAACAUUAGACCCGUAACUAAAGUGACUUUAGUCCUAGGUCAAAACUAUGCUACCGAAGGCCACGGGGGGGGGGGGUGAGGGCUUUAGUACCAGUUCUAAAUACCAAUCGGGACUAAAGCCCCUCCUUUAGUCCCGGUUUUAAUGGCUAGAAAUAUCACACCGAAGACCGCAUCCAACCGGGACAGAAUGGGUGGUACUUUCUCCCUAUAAAGGGGUGGAAAUUUCAACCAGGAUAAAAUCUCCUCCCCUAUCAAUCCAACCAACCCAAGAGUCCUUCUUCCUCCCCCAGCCCGAGCCACCACCAGAGAUCGAGCUCCACCUGUCCUCCUCUCCAUGGUGAGCAAGCAACCUUAGGGGAGGUGUUGCCCAAAUUUUUUUCCUCAUUUCCGUGGGGAUUUUACUCAUCCAAAGUGUUGUGAAGGUUAGCUACUUCAUCCUCCCUUCAUUUAUUAUUAUUAUGCUUUGUUUUAUGCUUUAGAGAGGGAGAAAAAUAAGCUUUUUAGAAUGAGGGAGAAUGGAGAGGAUUUUUGUUUAUACAUGUUUUUGAGCUAGAAUUUGAUGGAUAGCUGGCUUAUUAUAUAUGAUUCAUAUUAGUUAAAAGAACUUGAUCAAUAUUAGGUAUGGGAAAAAAUAGAGUAAAUGUGUUUUUAAUAUUUAGUCAUUGCAAUAAAAUUAAGGUAAAUAAAUUGUAGGUCUAAGAAAAUAGAAUGUGGUCAUUGCUAAAAAUUUUCAUGUCACUGUAAUUUAACAAUAAUUGUAUUUGUUUAAUCAAUAAUUAAUUUAUCUCAUGUUUAAUGCAAAAACUAAAUAUUAUAAACACAAUUACUCUAUUUUUCCCUACCUAAUAUUGAUUAAGUUAUUAAUGUAAUACGAAGCCCUAUAUUCAUUUUUCAUGUAAUACGAUGCAGAUGACCAGCAAUUGAUGUACCACCUCCGCUCCUCUAAUCCCAGAGAACAGUGUUUGCACAUGGUAUGAAUGUGCUUACACUAUUCUCUGCACAUAACUCAACUUUCUACGAAGUUUAUGGAGAGUCAUCUUCACUCCUCUAGUACCAGAAAAUAAUGGUAGAACAGAAGAGCUUCGAGUCCACAAACUCAGGCUGAAUAUCAUAAAAGAAUCUUAAAAUAGUAUUCCAAACGUUGUUGUAUAAGAUCAGAUGAGAUGAUCCUGGUGAUGUUGAGGAGCAGCCUCCCAAUAAGAGAGUUCUCACGAUCAGAUCUCUUAAUACACUAACUAAAGCACCACAGCUAAACAAACGUACCCAUCGAUCUAGCUCCGAUCAUGACCAACAUAUCCAUAACCCAAUAAUCCUAGCUAAACCGAUCGAUGUAGCUUUGAUCAUGACUAUUGAGAAAUCAACGUCCAAAUCUUGACACCAACUCACUAGAAGUGGCACCAAAGUGGUGUGACACCACCACUACUAGCGAAUGGACCUCUUGUCCACUCCCUAAGUACCGGUCAUAUUUGUACCUAGUACUAAUGUUAGCAUUAGUACCGGGUCUAAAUUUGGGAUCCCCUAGAGGCCCUUUAGUACCGUGUAGGAGCUCCACCCGGUACUAAAGCCAUCCCGCCACCAUCCCAAAGAAAUUAAAGCAAGGCAUGCACGGUAGGCCCCUUAUCCUCUCUCAGCUCCUUCCUCUCUCCUUAUCCUCUCUAGCUCCUUAUUCCUCUCUUCGUUCGCAGCAGGAGCUUGAGCACUGCCUCCCUUCCCCUCCCCCCUUCGCUCGCCCCUCACCGGCGCAGUAAGGAGCAGCGGCGGAGCGAGGUGAGGCAGCGGCGGCGGCCAGCGGUAGGCGGCGACGGCGGGUGGGAGCGGCAGCGAGCGGGCAGGCUGGCGCGUGCGGCAGGAGCGAAGGAGGGUGGUGGGAGGCCGAGGCUGGCGCGGGGGCCGGCGGCGGGGCGACAGGGGCCGAGCGGGGAUUUUGUUUUUUUUUAAUAUCCUUUAGUACCCGUUAUUUCAACUGGACCGGUACUAAAGGACCCCCUCUAGUACCGAAUUGCCAGUACCGGUUGCGAAACUGAUACUAGAGAAACCGAUACUACAGGGGGAUUUUCAACCGGUACUAAAGCCGUUUUCUCUAGUAGUGCAUUUCUUUUGUGAAUCUUAUACCCAUACUACUUUGAGGAGACCUUCACACCAAACUAAUACGGGAGACCAACUCUUUAUAAGGAAUUAUUCGCUCAAUUUGAUACACUUCGACACAGAAUAAUGCAAGUCCCUUGACAAAAACAAGCACAAGCAAACGCUAAACUGAAGCAUUAAGCGCAGAACGGCAUAUGGUCGAACACCCUGCGCGCGUCAGUGCCCGGCGGGGUGGCCGCCGCCGAGAUCCUUGAGCCGCGCCGCAGCCUUCUCCCCGUCUAUUGAGUACUGCAAGGCAGCCAGGAAAACGUUGGUUGCUUAGACGACAACUCGGUCGAGAUCGGUCGGGGUGGUGAAGCAGCGAUACUACGUGGGGAUACCUUGGAGAGGACCCAUGACGAGUGGGUGUAGGCGCGGCGGAGGAGGGCGGCGAGGUCGUCGUCGGCGGAGAGGUCGCGGUAGUUGACGAAGUUCUCGCGGGCGUAUUUGGCGUAGUAGGGCCGCGUCUCCGCCGGCAGCCGCCGCACCAGGCGGAGCACCUCGCGGUACGCGCGCAGCCCCGCGUUCAUCGGCAUCGCCGCAGGUCGUCGAGGGGAGCUGCUGACAGCUCAGGAGAGAGUGGUUUGGAAGGGGCACUGCUACUACUUUUCCAAGGCCGGCCUAGUCUACCCAAUUUCGCGGCCCGGCCCAUUUGGCGCCGGCCCUUUCUUCCGUCUCCGAAGAAAGCAAUCCAACUCCACGGAAAAAGCGCGCGAAAAUGCAAACACCCAUUGCUCUACAUGGUCGCUGCUCUCUGCCACUGCAAUUGGCCCAGGACGCGGGCAGUUCGUCCUCUAUCUCUAUGACUCCAGGCCCGGAACAUGGGCGACGCACGCCGUCUCCGUGGAGGACCGGCAGUUUCAGAAGUAUCAGCAGGAGGAGGGCUACUUCCUGCACAACAACAGCAAGGUGAUCGCUAUCGGAGGAGAAGGCGGGACCAUGGGCUUCGUCGACCUCCAUCGCGGCAUCCUGCUCUGCGAUCUGCUUCAAGCCAAAGACGGCCAUAGGUUUGGCUACAUCCGGCUUCCACGGCCACUCCGGUCAGACGCAAAGCUCCAGGGCGAUGCACGGCUUGCUCGGGACAUUGCCGUCGUCGGAGAUCGCAUCAAGUACGUCCAGCAGCAGCUUCACUGGAAGCCUUGCCCAACCUACGUGAAUCACUACAUCCCAGAUGGCUUGCUGGCUGCCACAUGGAGCAGGCUGGCCCAGUGGAGGAUCCUUGGGAGAGCCACCACAAGAUCCAGUCAUCCGAGAUGGACAUCAGCAACCCGCAGUUCGAGCUCCUCCCGAAGCGGCGUGACGACGAAGGCAGGCCAGUGCCACCCUUCAAGAGGCUCAGCAUAUGCCAGCCCACACUCAGCUUGAAGGAGGGUGAUGAUGCUACUGUUUGCUUCAUGGUCAAGAUGGACAUACUGGACGAGGAGGCCUGGGUGAUUGCUGUAGACAUGAAGAAUAACAGAUUACAAGGAGUUGUUGAGUUUGACGCAACGAGAACCGCCUGUUUGGGUUUCGUCUAUAUGCACAGCGGGGUAUCCAGAUAUCUGGACAGGAUUUCAGAUAAUUCUGUCGGUGUGAAUCCCUAAUUUAAUUGUGCGAACAAAUGUACAGAUCUGCAGGAAACAAAUGCAUACACAUAAGCACGUCUCUAGCUACUACCAGAAUAUAAGUUGUACAUUCGUAUUGCUUUUUUUUAGGUGAUUGUAUACUUGUAUUGCUGAUUGAUACAUUGGAUGAUUGCCACAAUGUAGUUGGAAGGGGGGAAAUUAACCAUCAUUUAUACAUAAGAGAGACUUAUCUCAUCAGUUAGCUCAAGCACAUGAAAAGCAACCAAUUUUCCCAAACUCAUUUGAUAUUGCUAGAGAAUACGAAAGUAUAUUGCAGCUACAGUCCUAGGUGAGGACAUCAUUGAUACUAGAGCAAUCUGGUCAGCAAAUAAAGACUUAGGGGUCGGGUAUGGACACAAGCAAACCAUGAUGUGAAAGGAUAUAUGCUUGAUGCCCAGUUAGAUCCCAUUGGAGCAUGUAGGACUUUUACUGAUGACAUCUAGAACUUUGAACAGCCACCGGAGCAGUUCUCUAAAAUGUGUCUACCAGGCUACAAACAGGGAACCCUACUUGUUACAAUAUAAUUGCUAGUUGGGGUAGGAGGUGGGCGAGCAAAUGAAUACUGGAUAUUUCUGUACUUUUUGGAUCAAAAGUCUGUGGGUGCUCCCACAAUAAUAAAAUGUUCAGAGUUUUAACUAGAGACUCUGGCAAUGAAAACAGCAAGGUUGCUUAAGCUUUGAAAAAAGAGCAGAUCAUUUGAGUGGUGUGCCCUGCAUUCUAAAACUAGACUAGAACCAUAUCAAGCAGAGUACUCAUAUUAAAACUAGAACCAUAUCAGAUUUAGAUAUUUCGAAUUUAGGUAGAGUCAGAAUAGUCAAGUAUAUAUGGAAUGCACAUUAACUAUCAUUUAAUCAAUGUAUUUGUGAUUUAAUUGUGUCACCAUAAUUUCCAAAAUACUGGGCCGAAUGGGGCUUAAAUUAACAAAACAAUGAUCAUGUAGAUAAGCAACUUAACCUUGAUAUUCAUAUUAGUUUCAUUCAGUAAAUCCAAACAAAUUCCUGGUUGCCAUAGUUUGUAGUUUUCUCAAUUUCUGGUUGACAUGGUCACAUUGUCAGAAUAUUGUGCAAGAAAAUGUGGUGCCCUCUCCAGGGCCAAACAAAUAUUAUGCAUAACUCAAAAUGCCUGGAGGUAAUCACAAGUUCACAACAAUAAGGGACCAGACUUUUCAGUUCGUGAAUCUUACCUGAACCCAUUGUUUUAAUUUGUUGAUCUUACCUGAACCCAUUGUUUCAGGAGUUCUGAACCACUUGGCUUCAGAUUUCAGAAAGAAAGUAAACAUGGUGAACAAUCUGGCAGUUAGAUAUGUUUACUCUUGCAUAUAGAUUAUCUUCAUCUCAUAGUCAUGUUCUAAUUAGAUAGUAUGACAUGAACAAUGGGUAGCCUUAUCAUUUCAAGGUCCUACACGGCAAUAACUACGGAAAUAUCGGAGCGGAGGGGCAUGCUAAACCACUGCACAACAAAAGUUUGUGCCCCUUCUUUUCUUUGCUUUCAUUUCUUCAGUAGUCGGUUCUUCUUAUAUGUUGGACUGUAUCAGGCUGUUUUUGAGGCACAACUGAGGGUCAACGGCCCUGAUAGCAGCAAUUUGUUAUAGCACAUAUGAGAGUUCAAAUGCGGAUAUGAACUUGUGUCAUCUGAUUAAAUGCGAUGCCUCACACAGAGUGCCUAUGGACUACGGCCACAUACAGAUUCCAUUAGGCCAUAGGUACGGCACUGUCCCAAAAUAGAGAUAGUAAAAUUUCUUAGGAUGAGAGCUCAAUGCAAUUUCACAGUUUUCAAACUCAACUGGUCAGCUUGGUGUCUCAGGAACUCAACUGGAGACCGACUGAAUUCAGUCUGGAGCUCUAUGUAGCAGAAAAUCAUCAUGUAUGAUAGUGCUGUGAGGAACAACACGAUCAUGUUUUGGUCUGUGGAUUCCCCUUGUCCAGAGCCAUUGAUGACCCAAAGCAAUGAAUCAUACAUCCUAGCAUCUUAUUCAGAAGAAGUGUGUAGAUCUACAGAAGACAUGUAAGGGGAAAGGGGGAAAUGUUUUGAUUCCGAGGAAGCACGAGCUCGUACAGCGAUCUGAGAUGGCGGCCGUCCUCUCCUCUCCUCUCCUCUCUAGGAGGACUGCGUCUUCGACGUGGUGUUGGGGCCGGGGGAGCAGGAUGACCGGAAGGCGUCGAUGUGCGCCUGGCACUUGACGCGGUCGCCCUUGUUCUCCUCCAGGCACCUCCGCAGCGCCUCCACGUCGCACGCCGCCGCCCUAGGCUGCUUUGUCUCGUCUCUCCCUCUACUGCCGGCCACCGAAGCAGAUGGCGCCGCCGCCGCUUCCAUGGUGGGACACUGGGGGUCUCCCUCGCCGUCUCCAGAUCGAGUCUGGGCAAGGGAGUCUGCUAGGGACAAGAUGACGUAAUAACCAAAAUACGCCUUCAGACCUUCAGAAGAAAAAACGCCUUCAGAAACCCGCAAACCGCAAUGCGUGCAUCCUGGACUCACAAAAUAUGGAGACCUGCACCAGACUUUCU